rnacentral:lncRNA from 1 species
GCUCUGAUACCAACUUUCACGGGGUGCCUUUCUUCUUGGCACAGAAAGGGACACCGUGCGGCAGUAGUCUGCUCCGCUAGACUACCUUCCGCUUUUUCUCGGUCACAUCGGGACGAAAGAAAAUUUGAUUGCAAUUUUGUAGAAAGCUUACAAUUGAAAAUUUGAAUACAUUGAAAGUAAAUUGAACAUUGAUUGAUGAAAACUGAACAUUACAAUUGAUGAAAGCAGAAAAUUACAAAUGCUGGUGCAGGGGGCCGACACCAGUGAGCUUGAAAGAUUUUUGAAUGACUAAUAUCCCCUAUAAUAGCAUUCUGAACAAAAACCCAAGUGACGGGAGUAGACGUUUAAAAGACGAGGAAUCAUACUAAUCUUUUACCAAUAUCAGAGCUAUUUUACAAUUAAAAUAACUAUUACGAUGAAACGAAAAUUACAACUCAAAUUUGAAGUAAUAUUUACAAUGUGCGGUCGAAGUUGGGCAAACUGCGGCUGCGAUAGUGUCAAGGGGCUAAGUAAAGCUGCGGUCCUUGACACGAGGUAAUGCUGCACCUCCGAUGCUAUUGUUCAGAUUCGCUUGUUGAGGCGCAAUUGCUGCCGUAGAAGAGAGAGGAGGUUGUUGACCUGCUCUGCAAGGCAACGUUUCCUAACAUCUUUUGGAUCUAAAAAAUCAAAGGCCCGUACGUCGCUGGAACGGUGGCUUCGUCACUACUGUAGCGACCAUCACUCCACUACAAUGGCUUCAUAAUUAUAGCGCUCUCACAAUGCCAUCGAAGUGAGUGGUCAGUCGCCGCAGAAAGAUCAAGAUGGGGAAAAAGAGAUAGAGAAACGCGAGAGAGAAUGAUUCGGGGAUGGAUUGAUUGAUUUAAUUAGUAACAUAUUACUAAUACAAUAUUAAAUCUUAAUUAUAAUCUGAAUUUUGAAAUAUGGUCUAUGAAAUGCAAAUUUUAAAAAUAGGGUACCGUGUAAUUUCCACUAUUUUGAAUAUUGCCCAUAUGCUUCCAUGGCCACGAUAGUAAAAUACAGUCCAUGAAGUCUAGAUCCGUUGUCUCAUUAGUUGUUAGUUCCAUAAGAAGUGAUAACUCAUUCAAAAUUCACAUCUCAUCAAUCUGUUUAACGUCAUUAACAAACAAAUAUGAAUCCCCUGAAUGUAGUGAAAAAUUGUAACUCAUCCCAACUAGUGUCGAGGUAUACUAGGGUACGCUUCUUUACAAAAUAUUGAUUCAAGCAACUUAAAUUUAUUAAGUUAAAGAUAAUUAUGAAUCAAGCCGGUGUUUUUUUUUUUUUUUUUUUUUUUUUUUUUAAAAAAAAAAGUGUACUAACAAUUUAUGGAUUUGUUUGUAUUAAAAUUGUAAAGAAAAUGUUGGUCCUCGUAUUUUGAGUUCCUCUCUUGUUCAUAAUUAGAAAACACUCAUAAAAGUGGUAGUUCAUAAUACUGGAGAAGUUACAAAUAAAGUGUUUUUCAGAACUUUGAGUUUUAAACUUAUUUUUCAACUUGUAAAUUUUAGUGAAUCAAUUUUUUCCUUUCACUUAUUGACUUUAUUCACGUAUUGAUUUUAUUCUUUUAGAUGAGCUAUAUAUUUUGUAUGUUGAAUAAAAGUCUCUUUUCCUCCUUUCAAUUUUUAUGCAUUUUAACUCUGACAAGGAAAUAUUUCAAUUUGAAAAACAAUUUUUUAAAUUAACUAAAAUUAUAUAACCCAUUAUCAGCUAUUUUUAAGAUGAUAUUGACUUACCCUUCUCGAGUGAUGGAUUAAUAAUUCAAGUCUUUUUAAAAACUAUGAAUAAUACUAUUUGCAAUCGUCCAUUAUUGCAGUGCCCUACAUGGCAUACAUGUAGCAUUUAGUGAUUUAAUGCAUCACUAAUCGUUACAUAUAUGCCACUUACGACGAUUGUGGUAGUGAACGACCGCAAAUAGUAUUAGAGUGUGCUUGAUGGAUUUUAUUUUUCAUGAAAAAUGUUAUUUUCCACGAAAAAUGUCAUUUUCCACCCAAAUUCAUAUUUUUAAGGUGUUUGAUUGACAAUUUUUUCUAUGAAAAAUAUUUUCUAACUUUUGAACAUGUAAUCAUAUUUUCCUCAAAAAUAAGGAAAUUUUUUUUAAGGAAGUUAUGGUUUUUAUUUUCCUUGUAAUUCACUCUCUCUUUCUCUCUUUUAUUUAUCCACUCUCUCUCAUUUACCCUUCAAUAAAAAAUGGACAAAUAUAAUAUUUUUUAGGUUAAAAACUAAAUCAACCAAACACAUUUAAUAACUAAUUUUCAUACAAAUAAGUUCUGGACAAUUGAAUUGCCUAAAAUUUAUUUUCUUUCAAUGCAAAUUCCGUGUUUGCAAUCAAACACACCUUUACUUAAAAACUAUAAUGGAAAAAGUUGGAUUAGGAUUAAGCAAGCACUUACCAUUGCUUAAUCCUGUUUAUCUCAAAGUAUAAGACAGAGAUAAAAAUAUAACUAAUCCCAUUAUUAGCAUCAAAGUGAAGUCCAAAAUUAGGUAUUGAAUUUCAGUUAAAUGUUUUCUACAGAUUAGAAUUUUUCCCGGAAAUUUGUUUUGAGGAUCUCAAUUCAUGAGAUUUGUAUAAACAGAUCUCCAACAUAGUAAUUCACGUUUUUAACUUUCUAAUUUUCUAGAAGAUUGGUUUUGAGUCCUUUGACGAGACAAAUUGUUUCGAAAUGACCCUUGAAAGUUAAAGUUUUACUAGAAACAUGUUGUAACAUUGAAGAGAUCAUAGUCUUAGGUCAUUGACUGAAUUUGAAUUUUCUAUAAGGAGUGGACGAAAUUCAUACAAAAUAAAAAUUUGAAAGUUUGAAAUAAUAAUUGUCAAUAAAAUAAAUUAUGGUGGCUAUAUAUUGAAGAACUUACUGUAGUUUUCUCAAUACUUUGCACGUUUAUCAGUUGAGAAAUGCUACGUUAUACAGAAAUCUUUCAGUUCUCUUUCAUUUUAUUAUUAUUAUUUUUUUGACAGAUUAUCAAUCGACAAGCAUUCAUUGGAUGUUGGACACAAUCAAUUCAGAGACGGAUUUGGGGGGCUGGACUGUAGCUCCCCCCCCCCCCCCCCCCCCCUCAGGCCCAAUAACAUUUUUUUUAAGGUUUUUUUUAUUUUAUUUUUUUUUGGUAAAAAAUCAAUUUUUUAUGUGUAAAUUUUUUUUUCAGCAUAGUAGCCCAGUUUGAAAUUUUGCAGCUCAAUCUUGAAUUGAAUCCUAGAUCCGUCACUGAAUAAAUUUAAACCAAUCAAUGCAAUAUUUUCACAUCAUUAUUUGCAAUAUUUUCUGUAAUUUUUAUCAGUACAAACACCUUUAUUCUUAUCACUUUCAAGUUUUUCUCUAGUCGACCCAAAUGUUAACAUUGGUUGUGGUACAAUAGUCAGUGAAACAAAUCAGUUGUGAAUGUUGUUUGUAGACGAAAAUAAGAAUAUGUUUGAAAUGCUAAUUCAUUAUGAGAAGAAAAAUAAUAGACUCAAAUUCUAUGUAGUAUGCAUCUACUAAAGUUUUUGGCAAGUCUUUAGUAAACUAUAUGCCGUGUUUAUGUAUUAAAUAAUGUAUUUCAGUUUGCAUGCCUGAAUCAAAGAAGACGCCUAUUUUUAUAAGUUAGUUGGCAAAGUAUGACAAAUUGUGAUAUGAAGCACGCUUAGUUAGACUUUUGAAUUAAUUGGUUUUAUUGGCAUUGGCCAUUGGGUAAGUUACGUUUCAGCUAAUCUUGGCUUAAUGAAAUAAUUUAUUAAUGAAUUGAAAAGGUGUAAAUAGGGAUGGCAAUAAAAUCCGUCCCGAACGGGUUGGCAGGGUCUACGCCCUGCCCGUGAAGGGGGGAAAAAAAAUUUAUAUAUAUAUUAAAAAUAAUUUUAUUUCGAGACAAUUCACGAGUUAAAAAUCUACUUUGAAUUUAUAUUUUAUUUUCUAAUAAUAACAUUACUCGAAAUUUUGAAAAUGUAAAAAAAAAUUAAAAAUAAGAAAAAUUAAAUCGAGGCAACAAACAAGGCAAAAAGUUACCCCGUUCCCGCCCCGUCCUGUCUAAGGUGGGACGGGGUGGGGUGCGAGUUGGGGUUUGGGGGAAAUGGGGCGUGGUGGGGGGUUGCCAUCACUGGGUUUAAAUAAAAUAUGGAAUAUAGUCGAUUGGGCUUGGCUCUUAAACACCCAACUCAGCUCAGUUAUGGGGACAAACCCAGGUUGACUCACAAACUGAGCCCUGCUCCGCCCGUGUCCAAAAAUACUGCUCAAUUCGGUCCAUUGGCUCAUGGGUCUUAUGAACCAAGCCAACCAACCCAGGAGUCUCUUCGUUUAAUUUUUUUACACUUAAAAUUUGAAAUCCUCCCCCUAUUCUGUGCUUAGAAUCAAAUACUUUAAAAGUAGACGAAAUUAAAAUUGUAAAUGAAUAAGAUAUUACAUGUACAAUAUUUUUUUUUUUAAAAAUAGACAGAAAAAUUAAAGAAAAUGGAUGAAUUGCUCAAUUGACUAAGUUCUUGAUAAUAAUCUAUCAACAUCUCAGUCCUUUAAAUCCAUUAAACUCUAUGGUAUAUUUUCUUUUAAGUCUUGAUAUAUUAUCAAACAUAAUCAUACAACAUGUAAUAAAGGCAGACUUCGAUUCUAUUGUAGAUACUAGGGGUGCUAGUAGAUAACAUGUUAUAAUAGAAAUAAUUGAAUAUUGACAAUUGUUCGUUCUCCACAACCUAAGUAUAUCAAAUUUUAUUCUUUCUUCCUCAUUUAAAAUAUUAAGUAUGUCGUGAGAAAAAUAUUUAGUUAAUUCUAACGAUAUUCCACUUGCACCAUACAUACCAUAGGCAAAGGAAGAAGAAGUACUAAUGUGUUAAUUAACUUUUCAAGAAAUAAUGUAACUCCAUUAAUCGUUGUUGCCUUGUGAAGACGAACUAAACCUUGCUAUAAGGGCCAUUGAACAUUGUUAUCACUCUGUUCGAUGUAUAGCUCAUACAUCUCACAUAAUUUUUCUUCAAAGUAUCAUGUAUGACUAGAAAUACAAAAGUUAAGGGCCCAUUUAAUUUGUGUUUCAAUUUUUAGUUUUUAGUUCAUUUUCAAAUUCCUGUCCCGAGAGUCUAUUUUAAGAUUUCUAAAAACGUAUUUAGUUUGUCAUUUUGAAAAAUUAUUUUUCAAAACAGAAAACUAGAAAAACACGCUUGUUUUGAAAUUUUGAAAAUUAUUUUGACAUUUUUUCAAUAAAAUUUGAUUAUUUAGUAAAAAUAAAUUUAUUUCAUGUUAAUAUAUUAUCGUGUAAUAUUACAUUUUAAAGUUGACGAAUUUUAUAAUAUUUUUUCUCGCAACAAAAGAAAAUAAAUAUAAAUAAUAAAUUGAGUUUAAAAUAUAUGAAAUAAAAAAAAUUAAUGAUGUGGAUUAAGAAUAUUUUUACCUGUGAUCACUAAAAUAUGUUUUAGAAUUUUUGAAUAAAUAAUCAUUAAAAGCUUGAACCUUUUUUUUUUUUUGGAAAUUUUUAUAACUUUUAAUUUUUGAAUUGUUUUUCUUGAUUUUUAUUUUUUAAAAUUUUAGAAAUUUUAUUUGUUACAAUUUUAUAUUUUUAUUUUGUUAUAUUUUUAUAUUUUAAAAUUUUAUUUUGUAAUAUUUUGAGUGUUUUCAAAAUUUUAACUUAAACACUCAAAAAGUCAAAAAUACGUUUUGAGUUUUACGUUAUAAGUUUAUCCUCGUUUUCGAAAAUACAUUUUUAGAAAUACUUGGCCAAACAUGUUUUCAGUGUUUUGUAAAUCUGAAAAAAACUUGAAAAUAGCAAACAAAAUGCAUCCUAGUUUAUUAGAAACUCCUUUUAUCAUAUAUUUUGUACAUUUCGAAUUAAAUAUAAUGUCCAUUGCUGAAGCUAAAGGAAAUAAAAUAGGCAGUUCCUCCAAAUAUUUUCAAAAUUUAAUCUCCAUCACUACUUCGACAUUUAGAAAAAUGGGAAAUGUCUUAUAAAUAUUGAAAUAAUUGACUAUAUAAUAAAAAUGAUUGAGAAUGAGUGGACUAGUUAAAUAAUAUAUGCUUGAAAAUUUAUAUGUAGUAUCGUAAAAAAGUUUUUAAAAAAAUUCUCACAUAACGAAAUUUGCUAAUCAUAUUAUUGUAAAUCAAAUUCUAGACGGUGUGAGUGCGGUUGUUGUAAUAAGCAGUGCAAUAUUUGUAGCAUUUACAAGAUUGUAGCAUAAGAUAAGUUGAAUUUCAUUACGUAACCUACAGCCGAGAGCAAAUGUUUUAGCUCUUGGUUCAUUUUCUAUACAUAAACCAUUGAAUAUAUGUUAGUAAUACUUACUAGUAGAGAUCGUAAUAUAGUUAAGAGUGUACCUAAUUUUCCUAAUUGUCCUUCUAUAAAUUUUAGCCCAUCUUUCACAAUUAAAUUAAAAAACAUGACAAAUAUAUAUAUUAUACCACCAAAAUCGUGGUUGAAUUGUCGAGCUAAUUUAUCAAUUACUAUUGUGUUAACGAAACAUUAUCAAAUGUAAAACUACUGAUUAAGUUUCACAAUUAAAUUCUAUAAUAAUAAUGCUCAUUAAUGUAUUAAAAUUAUUUAUUCCAUUAUGGAAACUUUAAUUACUUUAAUUAAAUGCAAUAUUUUUUGGUAGUAUCCAUUGUUUGUCUAUGUAGUAUGCAAUAACAACUAAAAAAAAAGGUUAAACCCCAAUCUUGAGGGCUUCCAUCGUCUCGUCCCUAGAGUUUUGUAAGGGAGGUAAAUCGCGGGAUGUGCCCCAACAGGCCAAAGAACAAAAGCUGCAUGUACACUACGCCUACAAGGAGUCCAAUUCCAUGUUUCAAGAAUUGAACCCCCACACUGCGCCUACCAGCAAGGAAUGAGAUAACAUUACUCCUGUCCUUUGCACCACUAGGCUAUGCCCCAGAGAGCAGAAUAGCAACUAUAUUACCUUCGUGGUAAUUAUCGAACCACAAGUUAGACAUAAAUGAUAAAAAUCGGUAUAGAUAUUGAUGGGGACAUUUUCCAAUAUCCCCAAUCACAACAUUCCCGACGACUGUUUUUUGAUAAAAGUAUAAAUCUAUCUGCGGUGUCCUCGGGCAUGACCAUCCUCGAGACAGUAUGCCCGACCACAUCUCAUGAUGCUUCGCGUAUUGCAAACAUUUGUCCUCGGGUAUAGUCCUCGUGCACGUCCUCCCCUCACUACUGACGAUUGUUAACCCUUUAGAAUUCCUACGCAAUUAGGAAUCUUAACUCCCACAAGAAUCCUAUCUCACGUAUAAUUCUGGAAUUCAACCAACUCCUUAACUAUUCAGAACUCCAACAGACGAGGACAUCCAGCUAGUUGAGUCCAAUUAGGAGAAUGUCACUUACUACUAUAAAUACAGAACAUUGAACCAUUAUUCAGGUACGUUUUUCAUUGUUCUUCAGCGCAUAGCCUCACGCAUAUAUUUCCCUUUCUGACUUAAGCAUCGGAGGGGCGACGAGAACACACCUCGUUGCCUUUGUUUCAGGCAUCGAAAGAUCACGUUCGUGCUCCUCAUCCGUCAUCAAGCUCGGAAAAUCUACAGGUACGAUUUUUGGUAGCAUCAUUGGCGCCGUCUGUGGGAAUCGCUACCAAAAGCCAUGGUAAACACACGAUCAGGUCUUCCACCCGCAAGCUCAUCCGCUCCAAACCAACCCCCUCCUGAGGAUAUCCCUGUUCCUCAAGAGGAAUCAUCAGAAGUGCCGGAGCCCCAGCCGGCAAUCGUCACUACUGGAGCCUUUGAAGAGCUCAGACAACAGGUCGCCGCACUGACUCAGCUGCUAAGUCAAAGAAAUUCGCAUCCGUCACCUACACCAGCACCCCAGGGGGGUUUUAUGGCUGAUGCUCGAGCUCNNNNNNNNNNNNNNNNNNNNNNNNNNNNNNNNNNNNNNNNNNNNNNNNNNNNNNNNNNNNNNNNNNNNNNNNNNNNNNNNNNNNNNNNNNNNNNNNNNNNNNNNNNNNNNNNNNNNNNNNNNNNNNNNNNNNNNNNNNNNNNNNNNNNNNNNNNNNNNNNNNNNNNNNNNNNNNNNNNNNNNNNNNNNNNNNNNNNNNNNNNNNNNNNNNNNNNNNNNNNNNNNNNNNNNNNNNNNNNNNNNNNNNNNNNNNNNNNNNNNNNNNNNNNNNNNNNNNNNNNNNNNNNNNNNNNNNNNNNNNNNNNNNNNNNNNNNNNNNNNNNNNNNNNNNNNNNNNNNNNNNNNNNNNNNNNNNNNNNNNNNNNNNNNNNNNNNNNNNNNNNNNNNNNNNNNNNNNNNNNNNNNNNNNNNNNNNNNNNNNNNNNNNNNNNNNNNNNNNNNNNNNNNNNNNNNNNNNNNNNNNNNNNNNNNNNNNNNNNNNNNNNNNNNNNNNNNNNNNNNNNNNNNNNNNNNNNNNNNNNNNNNNNNNNNNNNNNNNUUCCACCUAGCCAUGAAGUUUCCAACAAGUAAUGGCGUUGGGGUUGUCCGUGGAGACCAGAUAGCUGCCAGACAAUGCUAUGUUGCCAGCGUUCGGGAAAUAAAUAACGACGUCAUGCAAAUCUCGAGGAUGGAUCCCGAGGAUGGGCAACAAGUCAGACUUGCUUCCGUCGAGGAAUUGAUGGAAAUUGAGCUCGAGCAUGAUAAGAAGGUGACGAUUGGUCGGGAUCUUGACGUCACCCUGAAGACAGAACUUGUUGGUUGCUUAUCUCGCAACAUUGACGUUUUUGCCUGGAAGGUUGAGGAUAUGUCAGGGAUAGACCCUAAAAUUGCAGUCCACAGGCUUAACGUUAGCCCAGGGGCCAGGCCAGUAAAACAGAGGAAAAGACAGUUCGCCCCAGAGCGUCGGGAGGUCAUCCGCGAAGAAAUUAACAAACUCAUAAGUGCUCGGUUCAUUCGGGAAGUCCAAUAUCCCGACUGGCUUGCCAAUGUUGUUUUAGUAAAGAAAGCUAAUGGUAAGUGGAGAGUCUGCAUUGACUUCACAAAUCUUAAUAAAGCAUGUCCAAAGGAUAGUUAUCCCCUACCGCGGAUUGACAACUUGGUAGAUAGCACGUCUGGACAUAAGCUAUACAGCUUCUUGGAUGCAUUUUCUGGUUAUCAUCAAAUCCUCAUGGCCGAGGAAGAUCAAGAAAAGACCUCAUUCAUGGCCGAUUCUGCCAUAUACUGUUAUAAGGUCAUGCCUUUUGGUUUGAAGAAUGCAGGGGCAACAUACCAAAGGCUCAUCAACAAAGUCUUUCCUAACUUGAUUGGAAGGAAUGUGGAGGCGUACGUUGAUGACAUGGUGGUCAAAAGCAAACAGGUGGACCAACAUAUUUCAGAUCUUGAAGAAGUGUUCAACACCAUGCGAAAGUACGGAAUGAAGUUGAACCCCGCAAAGUGUGCAUUUGGCGUGGCCUCGGGUAAGUUCUUAGGCUUCAUGAUCACUCACCGGGGGAUAGAGGCCAACCCUGAUAAAAUACAAGCAUUAGCGUCUAUGGAAUCACCAAGGAACAAGAAAGAGGUACAGAGGUUGACUGGUAGGAUAGCAGCCUUGAACAGGUUCAUGUCCCGAGCGUCAGACAGGUGCUAUCCCUUCUUCAAAGUCCUCAGAGGAAACCAAGGCUUUGAUUGGAGUGAAGACUGUGAGAAAGCUUUUCAGGAGCUCAAGCAGACAUUGGCAUCUCCUCCUAUUCUAACAAAGCCUGAGCCUGGUGACACCUUAUUUUUGUACCUUGCCGUAUCUCAAAACGCGGUCAGCGGGAUCUUGGUGAAAGAGGUUAACAAAGUCCAACAACCAAUCUACUAUGUAAGCAAGGUCCUACUAGAUGCGGAAACAAGGUAUACUUUGGCAAAACAACUUGCCCUAGCCUUGGUUAUAGCAACACGGAAACUCCGACAGUAUUUUCAGUCUCACCCUAUUGUGGUGCUCACUAAUCAACCACUUAGGCAUAUACUUCAGAAGCCGGACGUAUCAGGAAGACUGAUGAAAUGGGCAAUCGAGCUUGGAGAAUUUGACAUAGAAUUCAAACUACGCCCAUCUAUCAAAGCCCAAGCUCUGGCCGACUUCAUUGCAGAACUAACCCCUAGGCCUCGGGGGCCAGGUGAUAGCUCGAGCAUGAGCACUAAUUUGGACACUUGGCAAAUUUUUGUGGAUGGAGCAUCGAACUCCUCGGGCUCGGGCGCAGGGGUCAUCCUCAUCAGCCCUGACAAACAAACAGAGAUCCAAUGCGCUCUCAGGUUCGAGUUUGAAGCAACCAACAACGAGGCCGAGUAUGAGGCCGUCGUGAUUGCUCUGGAGCUAGCCCUUUGCCUUGAGCUCGAGUUCGUAAAGAUACUCAGCGAUUCACAACUGGUGGUCGGACAGAUUGAAGGAUCAUUUGAAAGGAAGGACGAGAAAAUGAGUUUGUAUUGUAUGAAGGUUCAGGACCUUCAACGAAAAUUCAAGAGGUGUGAAAUUGCAAAAAUUGCUCGAAAGGAUAACGAAAAAGCCGACGCAUUAUCCAGGCUUGUGUUUAUGGGGGUAGACGGCCUUGACAGAACAGUUCACAUUAAAAUCAUCACAGAACCCAGCAUCAGUCAAAUCUUCGACAUCAUGGACAUUGACAACGAACCAUCCUGGAUGGACCCAAUCAUAGAAUUCAUCACAAAUGGAAAUCUACCAAGCGAUGCCAGGUUGGCUAGGAGCAUCAGAGCCCGAGCUCCUAGGUACUGUAUGAUCAGCGGUGUCCUCUUUCGCAGAAGUAUUACUCUUCCAUACCUAAGGUGCCUCAGGCCAUCAGAAUCAUCCCAGGCCCUUGCUGAAGUUCAUGAAGGGGUGUGCGGGAAUCAUCAAGGAGCCAAGGCCUUGGCCUUUAAACUCGUACGAUAUGGAUACUACUGGCCAACUAUGAAAAAGACGCCUCAGAAUAUGUUAAGAGAUGUGAUAGGUGCCCGAGGUUUGGUAAUGUUAUCCACUCACCAGCCGAAGACCUCACCAACAUUAACUGUUCGGCCCCGUUUGAACAAUGGGGAGUUGACAUCCCCGGCCCCUUUCCUAUGGCAAGAGGUCAAUUAAAGUUUGUUGCUGUAGCAGUAGAGUACUUCACAAAAUGGGUAGAGGCCGAGGCUCUCGCCACAAUAUCGGAGCCCAAGCUAAGAGCCUUCACUUGAAGGUCUAUCAUUUGCAGGUUUGGGAUACCAAAGGUCCUCAUCACCGACAAUGGCAGGCAAUUUGACAACCAACAAUUUAGAAACUUUUGCUCAAACCUUGGGACUGAUCACUGUCUAACAUCAGUUUCGCAUCCUCAGAGCAAUGGUCUGGCCGAGGUAACUAAUCGAAUCAUAUUGCAAGACCUCCGAACAAGAAUAAGCGAUGCUAGGGGUUCUUGGUCCGACGAGCUACCUUCCAUACUUUGGACGUAUAGAACAACUCAUAGGACAACCACAGGAGAAACCCCUUUUAUGUUAGCCUAUGGCAUUGAAGCAAUGGUCCCAGUGGAAAUUAGACUGCCAAGCCAUAGGAGACUCGUGCCAGAAAUCUCGAAGCAUACAACUGAACAUCUUGAUCUCUUGGAAGAAGUACGGGAGCAAGCCGCUAUAAAAGUGGCCUCUUACCAAACUAAGAUAGCAAAACAUUUUAAUAGCAAAGUCAAGGUUCGGAGGUUCAGAGCUGGCGAUUUGGUCUUGAGGAGGGCCGAAGCAGCAGGCCACCCCCCAGGGAAGCUCGGGCCCAUCUGGGAAGGGCCCUUUGAGGUCAUACGACAGGUUCGCAAAGGAGCAUACAGCCUAAGAGACACUUCGGGUAGUCCUCUUCCGAGGCCCUGGAAUGUCGACAAUCUAAAAAUAUAUUACAAGUAACAUUCCCGAUGCCGUUUAGGAGAUUUUCUUUUUCUGCAUGUUAUUUUUGGUUUUUCGGGCCUGCGUGUCCUUGCACCUUAUUUCUAGUUUAGCGGGCCUGCGAGCCCAUGCAUGUUUUCCGUUUUCUUUUGUAAUGAACUACGUUUGGCUUGAUCCCGUUUGGGUACGUAGGCAGCUUGGAUGCAAUAUAUAAAUCCAAGUCCAGUCCAAACAAUUAAUAAAUCCAAACCCCGGGUAUAUCAGCCCGAUAGUUUGCUUUACGUCUAGCAAGCCCCCUUAAGCCUUGUCCUUGAAAAGCCAAUGUAAGCCUUGCCCUCGAGCAAGCCCCUAUAAGCCUUGUCCUUGACAAGCCAAUGUAAGCCUUGCCCUCGAGCAAGCCCCUUUUAAGCCUUGUCCUUGACCAGCCAAUGUAAGCCUUGUCCUCGACAAGCCAAUGUAAGCCUUGCCCCGAGCAAGCACCAAAAUCUUGGAGCUCAUAAUCAGCACAUCAAAAUAGUGCAGCACAAGUAGUAAAUAUCGAGGACAUACAUCCCGACCAUAUAUCCUUGUAUUUUUUGUCCAAGCCUGAAAAAUGAAAGCUCGGGAUAACUCAUGUACAGAGGUCGGUCACAAGUAUUCGUACUCUUCGGGGACUACCAUCCCUUGAAAUUAAUCCUCGAGUGUUAAGUGUGUAGAAAACUACACUGUCCUCGACAUUAUCACUUGUUUAAAAAUUGAGUUAUUCUCAAUCGUCGAGAUGAUUAAUUAGUCGUCGAAAAUAAUUAAUCUUCUUUAGUCGUCGAGGUAACUGUCUACGUGCUCGGGGUUCACACUUGGAUGUUCCAAGAUAAUUUUAUUAUUUAGUCCUCAGGAUGAAUUUUGUGUACGUUAUAAUAUUCAGAAAUAUUUUCACAAAUUAGGUCCUCGAGGUGUUCCCAACUACUCUAGGCGUCGAGUUAUUUAACCAUCUUACAUUGGGCUAUUUGAAUGAUCGAGAUAUCAAUACACAGCAGAAGGAAAAUAGUUGAUCGAGUAAAAAACAUGUUCAAAUUACAAAAAGGAAGGGCUAUCAUCAUACCAAAAAACAAAAACUAAUCUAAGUCCUCGGCCCUUUCUCCCGAGGCUGUGCUCCUCUGCUCCUCCACUGCGUCCUCGCCGUCAACAUCGACCUCUUGGUCCUCGACGGUUUCCUCGGACUCUGACAGCUCGAGGGUGUCAGCAAUCUCGGGGAUGUUCUUUAGAUCCUCGGGGUUAGCGUCGGGCUUCGAUCUCAAAAAUGCCCGAGCUUCCUUGAAGGCAUGGAAGUACGAGUCCAUGGCAUACUCUCCCUUAAGGCCGUUAAACUCCUCGGACGUUUUAAAGUCCUCGAUCGCAACCCCUCGAGCUUCAGCCAGGCGAGUCUCAAAAUCAACCUUCAAACGCUCGAUCUCGAGCUUUAAACCUUCGGUCUCGCCCUUAGCAGUUCCAGCCUCUGCUCGAGCUCUCUGGGCAUCAUUCUUCGAGUCCUCGAGCUCCUUCUGAAGAAGAAAGCUUUCAGCCUCCAAGUCGGCUAUCCUCUUCUCCUGUGCUCGAGAAGAGUCCUCGAGUUCGGUGGUCUUUUGGGCCUCAUCUUUCCCCUUCAGAGAAAGGCCUCGGGCAAUGCUCAAAGCCUACACCAUAUAAACCCGAGCUUAAGUAAUCACAGCGUUUAAACCUUUUUAAAUCUUGAAUUUAAACAAAGUAAAUUGGGCGAGCUUACCUUCAGAGUAAGGGAUUCCAGAGCCUUCAUGCCCUCAUCAAAAUCGAGGUCCUUCCUAUACUUGUCCACGAUGCUUGACACCAGAGGACAUCAGUCAGGCUCCUGAUUCUGGAAAGAGGGCAUAGGUCUAACCUCAUCAUCGAGGUCAACAACCUCGAGAGUACUCCUUGGCCAAGGAUGUGAUCGAGGUGGACCAGUAGGAGUCUCAGUGGCCUGUGUGGUCGGGGUAUGUCCCCGGGCAGAAGUUUCCCCAGGCCCACUUCUGAUAUUCUCGGGGCCUAGGUCCCGAGCUCUCUUCUUCCCUCUCUUCUGCCCUGGAGCUCGAGUUUGAGGGACCUUUGACUUUUUGGUCACGGCCUGUCUGAGGGCUGAAGGAUCAAAAGUCAUCUCUGCAAAAAAAGAGCAAGUCAUUAGAACGAGCACAAUUAUAAGUUCAAGGACAGAUCAGUAAAGAAGAUGGCAAAAAGUCCUACCCGCAGUGCCUUUCACAUCCGCGAGAUCGAGAACGUCAUCCCCGAGGAUGUCAUCUAUAUCAUAUACAAGAGGCUCGAGGUUCUCUAAAUUACCCUAUGCCUUUCUAAAGACUCGAAAUAAGCCUGACCUUCACAAAAUCGGGGAGUGUCGGGCAAAACCCACCUAGCACUAAAAGGAAGGUCACUAUCCUGAGGUACGACAUAAAACCACUUUUUUUUCCAACCUUUCAAGGAACUGGGCAUCCUCGGUAAUCUAAAUCCUCCUCGGGACAAAAGGUAAGCAAAACAAGUGUAUUGAGGAAGCUGUUUCAGGUCGAACACCAUCCUACAGAGAUCGACGUAUGGGUUAAUUCGUAGGUAUCUACAGGCUAUAAAGAAAUAGGUAAGCAUCCUCCACCCAUUUGGCACGAGCUGUCCAGGGCUCAUAUUAUGCUCGACCAAUAAGGCCACGAAAAAGGGAUGCAUAGGCCAUCUAAAUCCCCCCUUAAGUGAGUCCCUAAAAAUCACAAACUCUCCAUCCUGAGCUAAUGCCAUCCUAUCCUCUACCCCUGGCGUCCUAAUGUCGUAUUUGGGCAUGAACCCAUGCUCCCUAGCCGUCGAUAUUGCUAGAUGUUCUUUAAAUUUACAAGGGACCUCGGGGUACCUAAAAGGGGUCGGGAUACUUUGUGCCCGAGGUUGAGCAUUAAUUGGGACAGCCAUAGGUAUGAUCGAGCAUCCUAUGUCCUCGGGAGUACUCCUCGAGGACGAUGAUGACGAAGAGUCGCUACUGCUACUACUAGACAUCCUGACCUAGGUAAAAAAAGCCUAAAGAAUAACUUUAAAACUCGAGGUCUUACCUUAAAGUCGACGCCUAAAAACUCAAAGUCCGAUCCCGACGAUUAGCGAUAGAAGUUUACUGAGAGUAAAAAGUGAAAAAUGAAAUGAGGAGAGGGUAUUUAUAGGCAAUAGGGGCAGGAAGCCCAAAGGUCACUACCCCGACCGUUAGAUCUGGACACGUGUCCUACAUCCAACCCUACCAAUUUUUACCGCCUUUUCCUAUUCUAGGGCUGACGUCAGUACACGUCGGCCUUCUGAUCAAUCACAGGUGUUCAGAAAUCCUCGAGCUAAAAACUUGAGCUUUUAUUUCCAGUCUCUUUGCAUCAUAUCCUCGAGCAUAUUCUUCGAGCAUAUAUGCACGGGGGCCUAUAAUGGGGACAUUUUCCAAUAUCUCCGAUCACAACAUUCCCGAUGACUUUUUUUGAUAAAAGUAUAAAUACAUCUGCGGUGUCCUCGGGCAUGACCAUCCUCGAGACAGUAUGCCCGACCACAUCUCAUGAUGCUUCGCGUAUUGCAAACAUUUGUCCUCGGGUAUAGUCCUCGUGCACGUCCUCCCCUCACUACUGACAAUUGUUAACCUUUUAGAAUUCCUACGCAAUUAGAAAUCUUAACUCCCACAAGAAUCCUAUCUCACGUAUAAUUCUGGAAUUCAACCAACUCCUUAACUAUUCAGAACUCCAACAGAUGAGGACAUCCAGCUAGUUGAGUCCAAUUAGGAGAAUGUCACUUACUACUAUAAAUACAGAAUCUUGAACCAUUAUUCAGGUACGUUUUUCAUUGUUCUUCAGCGCAUAGCCUCACGCAUAUAUUUCCCUUUCUGACUUAAGUAUCGGAGGGGCGACAAGAACACACCUCGUUACCUUUGUUUCAGGUAUCGAAAGAUCACGUUCGUACUCCUCAUCCGUCAUCAAGCUCGGAAAAUCUACAGGUACGAUUUUUGGUAGCAUCAUAUAUAUAUAUUUUUUAAAUCACUUUUAUUAUUCUAGCUUCUUUACAUUGUACAAAUUAAUAGCAUCCAAACAAAGGGUUUCUAGAAUAAGAUUUGUACUUGAUUAGAGAUAUUUUUGUAUGAAGUUGAUAAAGUGAAUGCUUCUAAAUAUGUUGAGCGGACACUCACCCCUGAAAUUAACAGUGCCAUACCUUAGCGCAUUGCUUCUUGUGAAGAGACCUAGUUGUUAAAAUCAUAACUAGACCUUGCACCACGAAGACAAUCAAAUUAGAGUUGGGCCUAAUUAGUUUUCAAACAUCUGUGUUUGACUAUCCAUUUUCAAUAGUGUCUACUUUGAUGGAUUGUGUCAAUACCCAAGCCAACCUUUCUUUGCAGUAUUUACACUACACUUUGUGUACAAACUUUCCAUCUACUAUUGCAUCCAUGGCGACGAAUUUGAAGUUAUCCCAACACUUAGCACAUUCUUCGUUACAGGUUGUCCUAUAGUGCCUCUUUCAUCUUCUUUAAUAUCAUCCAAAUCAAUUUUAUUCAUGCUCCCACGAUCGUCGUCCAAAUCAUCAUGAAUUGGAACAUCAUUUAGAUAACUGAAAUCAUAAUUUAAUGACGGAGUGGCUCAUGCAGUCUGGGAAUCACCAAACAUUUGAUUGAAUUCAACAGUUUUCAACAAUCUGCUUUAGAAUUAACAUGUUUGGACAGGGUUGAUUUCAAGGUAAAAAAUAGGAGGCGUCAUAUUGAUCUCACAUGAUUCCCCUGUUUUUGACCCUAGACUUCACCCUGGCUGUCCAACAUUGUUUGCUUUAAUCCAUUUAGAAUAAUGAAAAGAGAAAGAUGUAGAGUAAUAUAAAUUGUACUAGAAUUGGAUAAAAAUGACUCGCGUAAGUAAAUUUAUAGACAAUAAAACUCGAGCUUGAAUAGUGAAAGAGCUUAUAUGAAGAUUAUAAGAUUUACUUUGUAGAUUGAGGAGGUAGAGAAUUGAGGUGAGGGCAAAUUUGAAGUGGAGUAUAUAUGUAUAUAUAUUCUGGAAAAAAAAAAUGAUGCUCCAAACAGCCACCAACCGGCUCAUGGGCUUUCCUACGAGCUUUAAUACAAGUCGGCUCUUGAAUUUUCUUGAGCUCGACAGGAUCCGUGGCUCAUCAUAGUACAAGCCCGAGCAACCUAUGGACAAAACCAAAAUAAGUCGAGCCUGCGAACUACUAUGUCCAUUUGUCGUCGUAAUAAAAUGAGUCUAAUAUCCAUUUAAAGAAAACCUUCAAAAGAAUGUAACUAGAAUCAAGAAAAACGAAGGACGUCUCUCACAAUACUCCAAGGACAGGGUGGUGGGGGGCCCUUAAAAUUGGGGUUCAAUCUUUAAGAAAAAAGAAGGACCAAAAAAUGCACAUACAAUUAUUCAAGAGGCAAAAGCAAAAUUUGUCAAGUGGAUUAUAUCGGUCAGGUAGGCUUUCUAAUCUUCUAACUUAGCAUGCUAGAUUGCAAAACAACCCACUCGCAACCAAAUACCUCAUUCACGAAUGCAAUCACGUAACGAAUGUCAUCACCACUAUCACUAUAGAAAAAUUAAUUCACAGAAAAAACAAAAAAUAAAAAUGAUUGGAUAUAAAAGAACAACCACUAUCAUUAAGGGUAAAACUAAGGGUCCGAGUUGGUGAAGUAAGUAAGCGCGAAGACCUUUGGUCACGAGUUCGAUUCCCCCUACCAACACUUUUUCGGUCGAGCCUGUUGCACCGGGCUUGCCUAGUGCGAUUUACCUAGCUGUCGUGGUUUGCAAGCUAUUGCGUCAACUCGAAGGUUUCCCCAGUGCGCAUCUGAAGGGUAGCGGCUGCGGAUUUCCCCGUUAUUAAAAAAAAAAUGAUCCAUUUGAUUGCAAAGAUGAAAUUUGGGUGGAAAGAAAAUAAAUUCUAGGGAAUUAAAUUGCCUAGAAAUUAUUUUCCUGAUAAUUGUAAAUUAUUGCAUUUGAUUAGUAUAAUUUUCUACUUGAAAAAUGUUGAAAUAAAAGUAUUUUUGGUGUUCGUUUGGCUUCGUUUUACAUGAAAAUUGUCAACUAAAGGGACAUAAUUUACUGGUAUUGGGGAUGAAAUUUGUUUCCAUUGCCAAAAAAUAAAUAAAUAAAUAAAAUAAUUUAUCUUUUGGUGUUCGUUUAGUUUUGUUUUACAUGAAAAUUAUCGGUUAAAGGGAGAUAUUUUUAUACAAUAAUUCUUAGAAUUUGUUUCCAUUGAAAAAAAUAAAUAAAAAAGUGCUACAAUAACCCAGAAUUCCAAAAUUGGAAUUUCUUAAAUUGAUGGAAAAUGCUGACAUGACAAGAAAGUGAGAAUUUCAAUUUUAGAGAAAAUUUUGGACAAUCAAAAACCUAAAAGUUGGAAAAUGACAUCCAAAUUUCAUUUUCCAAGGAAAAAAUGGUGGAAUCAAACACUACAUAAGAUGAAUUGGCAUCACUACUGCAUUAUCUAUGUUAGCCCUAUUUUCUCUGCAAGUACCCUUUAGGCUUUAUCGUCGCCCAACCCUGAAUCUCGCGUUUUGUGACCAGGAAAGUUUGAAAUCAUGCCCUUAACAGUCACUUCACUUCGAUUCAGCCUCUUUCUAUUGGAGGAAUUUUGUGAAUAGUGACGCCAAAAUAAGUAUAAUGAUGUUUUAUAAAUCCGUGCCGAAAAUUGGACAGAGUAACGGCAAAGAAAACACAAACAAGAAGAAGAAGAAAGUAGGGACAAAGUCGAGGCAAGAGUUGGACUCUUUGUCCUUAAGUCGAAUUUGCCACGCAACGGUGCCUACGGAUUUCCACAAUCGACUCCCAAGAUACAACGGCUACACUUGUGUUUGUAGCACUCCAAAACACAAGUACAACGAACCAAAUUUAGGCUUAUGUACUCCAAGGAUGAAAUGAAGGAAAAUCAAAAUAAAUGAAAUAAUUUUGAUUUUGGAUAGAAGAGAGGAUGAGAGAUGUUUUGCAUAUCAAAAUUGUGAGGAAUAGGACACCAAAAAGGUCCUAUUUAUAGACCAUGAAAGGAUGUGGACGAAAUGGUUGAGGCCAAACCAUGCACCCUUUCCAAACAAUACACUUUUAUAAAAAGAUGUCUAUUCACCGGACAACCGUGCGGUCGCACGGUCAAAUAUUUUGACCUGAUUUUCGUCCUUUUUCGCAAUUUCUCAUUCAUCCGAUAUUGAUUUUUGAAAUGUCAAAUAUACCCUUCAAUACAUACAGAGAAAUCAAAAUUUGGCCGAAGUAGAUACGAAAUCACUUUAAUCGAUUUUCAAUUCUCGAUUUAUUUAACCAACAUCCAACAAUUUCUACUCAACACUUUUCUACAUCUACAUAUCUUCAUUUUAUAGAAUUAAAAUUUAUUAAAAACGAGGCUUAAUCUUGCAUUGUGAUUAUCAGAUAUCUCAUAUUUUGACUUAACACACCCGUAUCUUUAGAAGGCAAAGUCAUCAUUUCAUUGUUAAAGGUGACUCGACAAGCCGUAUUAUCAUUGAAUUUCAAUCUUAUUUCACACCCAUUUUGGAAUAUCAAAGAUUUUGGAAAUUGAAUUCUCCUCUAACAAAGGCAUUUCUUUUCAAAUAUCACAUAUUUUGACUUUAACACAAUCGUAUCUUUCGAAAGCGUAGUCAUCGUCUCAUUGUUGAAGGAGGCUUGAUAGGCCUUAAUGUCAUUAUACUUGAAUCUUAUUUCGCACCAAUUUCAGACUAUUAAAAAUUUUGAAAAUUGAAUUCUCAUAUAAGAAAGGCAUUUCGUUUCACCUCACUGUUAAAAAAAUCUAAACUCAUCCCGAUUGACUUCUCCACUAGGCUUUUUCCCGCAUUUGCUUUUAUCAUAAAUAUCUAACUAAACGCUUAUGGUACUUUUUGUUCAAAUUUGGUAAUUUUCGUAUUAAAUUUGACAACACGUCAAUUGAUCUUGGCUCAUUCGUAAUCUAUAACUUGGAAAGAGAAUGACAUUUAUAGCACUCGAUCUCAACAUCUUGACUUCCUUUUCAUAUAAGGAUUUUAUCUCGGAAUCGUAUAUUGUUGAUGGUACCCUACGAACCAAAGGCCACAUGACUUUAGGACAAUAAUUUUCACAAUUCUCAUGGGCCAGCAUUUCUAACUUUCUUCUAACUCUGUGUUAAUUUAAUUUGCCAUUUUAAUUGAUAUUCCACUAUACAAUUACUUAUUUUUCUAUAACAUAAUUGUCCUACAAUAGUCAAUUAAAUAAAUCAAUAAAGAUAUGUUAAUUUAAAAUAAAUAACAAUAAUUUUUUAUAUCUAUUAUAUAAAUUGUGAAAAUUAGAAGUCGAGCAUGUUUUAUGAUAUAAAAACUGUUUGCUAAGUGUUUAACAAACUAUAUUAUUCAAAAUUACAUGUAGUUCUUGUUAUUUCAUUAUUUUUAAUUUGGUUGGUUCAACGAAGACGUCAAUUUGUACAUGUUAGGUAUCAUAGUAUGACUACUUGUGAUUUGGAACACACUGAAAUAGACUUUAAAAUAAAUUGAAUUGACUGGAUUUGGGACUAUGAUUUCCCCUAAUCUUAGGUAUUAUCAGAAACAAUAUUGUAAUGGGGGAAAAAAUCAUAUAUAUAAGUUUAAAAAAUUUUAAUAGUAGAACGAGAAUACUGCCAUUUAAGGAAAAUAAUGUAACUAGAAGCAAGAAAAAUAAGGACCAAAGAAUACACAUAAAAUUAUGGGACGUGCUACUUGUAUAGAACCAAAACUCACAAAAAAGCCACAGAUCAUUCACACUAGUGGGGUCUGGGUGAUUUUCUGCCGAUUUUUCAACAACAACAGGGGCCCCGCGCAUGUGACUGUCUUGCAAAUUUCUAUGAAAUGAAUAGUUUCGUACAAAUGACUUUUUCCUAAAAUUAUUCCUGAAGGGAGAGCAAAAUUUGUCAGGUUUUGCAAUUCUAACUUCUAACUUGGCAUGCCAAGAAAGCUUGUAACUAUUCUUAGUUUGAAAACGAGGUUUUACUUACAUUUCUUGAAUUUUUCUUUCUAUUUUCUUUUUUCUUUUUUUUAUUCUUGAGAAAUAGUAAAUUUCUCAAUUAAGAAGAGGAAAAUUUCAUUAAGUUGCAUUAGUCUUGCUUUAAUAAAAACAAGUAGAAAUAUGUAACUAACUUUGACUUUACUUGAGAAAUUCAAAUAUCUAUAGUCAUUAGCAACUAAUUAACAAAAGACUAAUAAAGACCGUGAAUUUAGUCAUUGGCUUUAUAAUUAAAGAAUGACUGAUAAAGAGUACCCUAAUUAUAAUUUAAGUGUUUUAGGCAGUUAAAAUAAAUUAUUAUAUAUUUUCUAAUACAGCUUCUUGUUGAAAAUUUCUUGAAUGAGGUGGGUUCAAGCAAAUUGACUUUUUAAACUUUAUAAAGUAAUUAACAAAAAUAAUUAAAUAGAUUUAUUCAACAGACGCCACAAAAAUACAAAAAAAAAAAUAUUGACUUGAUCAUCACUGCCGAUUGAGGAAGACAAACAUGGAAAUUGCAUAGAAUCAAGGAGAAAAUAUUGCAGUCCACAUCGACUGCCAAGAAAUUGGACGAUGUCAUAUGGAUACUGAUCGAUUUAUUAAAUAUUAAGAGCGUUGAGAAUAUAAUAGUGGGAGACAUAAAAUGAUUUUUAAUAUAUGAUUUAGAGUUGAAACUUGAAAAGGUUUUAGCUUAAUAAGUAGAAUGGAUGGUUAUUUAUGUCAUUUUACAUAAAAUAAUUUUAGCAUAUAAAAGUAAAAUUGGAUAUGAUAAAUAAAAAAUAUAGUAAUAAUAUACACACUCAAUUGGUGUGCCAUGAAUUGGUUCCCAAACCAUACCUCAAAGUGCAAACAAUUUGUAAUAAGUAAUUAUAUAAAAUAAUUUGAUUGCAAUAAACUAUCAUCAUUGGAAAUAUAUGAAUAUUUUCCACCACGCAAUAAAAUUUAUAUAUCGAUGUUUCAACUACAAGUCAAGUAUCGUUUUGGAAAUUGAGACCGCGAAAAAUCAUUCUAGGGUAUUUAGAAAUCGAAGAUGGAGAGAUGAGGUAAUGGUUAUCAUCCAACUUCACAAAUGGAUGAGAAAUCUCUCAAAUCACUUGGUGGAUUAGUGGCUUCCAUCCGAUCCGGCCAAGACCUAGAAGCUGAAUUUUAAAGUGGGCUGUUUAUACCAUACGUAUAUAUUGUUUUGAUCUGAGAAUUAAAUUCUUCUGUGUUUCAGCAGUAACGUAUUGUUUUAUAGAGCUAAGGUGCAAAAUAUGGAAAAAAUAAGUGUUUUCACUUUUCUACCACGCAAUCAAACUCAACUCAUAAUAGUGUUCUAAAAUGCAUAAAACGUGUCCAGACACGGAGGCUAAACUUCAAGUUUUACAAGCUUAGACAUCAAAAAAGUUACUUAUUUUUAUUAUUAUUUUAAAUACUUAAUCAUUCUAAAAAUUAUUUAAUAAUUAAAAUACUCUAAACAAAGCAUCUAAAAUUAUAAAAUAUUAUAUUUACUUAAUAAUUCCUUUAAGGAAAAAACCAUGAGUCCAGAGAAUUUUUGACAGAAUUCCUCUCGAUGUUGACCCCACAUGGCUGCAGAUGAUUGGAUUGUUUUAUUUUUUCUCUUUCCAUCUUCCAAUCAAUUCUCGUCGUGUGUUGUCUGUCAAAGUUUUCUAUUAAAUUUUCCUUUACUUGUAGCAUGAUUGUUCCUACAAUUAGUCAUUAUACAAUUUUCAAAGUUUUCGAAUUGUAAAAGUUAGACCAUUUUUCAUAGUUUCAACUUUCAACAAGACAAGUCCUACUUAACAAAUUUAUGAAAAUUUCAUACAUGUUUUUGAAGUUUUCAACAAAAUUAUAAGUUUCAAAAUCAUACUUACAUAAUAUAAAUAGCAUAGUAGCUUAUAUCUUAUCUAAAUCUUUAUCAAAUAAAUGAUUUUUUUUAACUUUUGCAUGUAUAAAAUCAUUUAAAAAUUUAAAACUAAAGUCAAAUAAAAUAUUUUUUUAAAAAAGGAAAAAAAAUAAUAAUAAGUGCACUUAGGCGUGAAACGAUCAACUUAGCAGUUGACAGCCUAAUUCGCAUUUACGUCAAGGCAAAGUGUUUUGCCGCCUCACCUAGAUGCACUUUUAAGAAUACUGGAAAGGUUUUAUAACUUAGCUCAACGAUAAUGAGAAGUGAAGGAUAGGAUCCUAUUUAAAAAGAAGUUUCUCUCCAUUGUUAUGUUGUAUCGGGAAAACAAGACUAAAUACUUACUGCGUGAGUACAUGAGGGGAUCUAUCGAAAUCAUGAAGCCAAGUUGUGCCCAAAAGAUAUUAAGACAUGGAUGCUACCGGUCGACUCGAAAAGUGAUUCCUCAGAUUAUAUCUAGUGAUGUGAUAAAUGCCAAAGAUUUUUCAAUAUGCCUCGGCUUCAACCUCAAUAGCAACUGAAGUAGUUAGAGAUGGCAAAAAAAUCCGCCAAACCCGAUACCCACAAGUUACUCGCUUAAUCGAGUAUUCGAGGUGGGUACGAGUAACACCCUCCCCGGCCUGCUCUAUUAAUUUUUUUUUUUUUAAAUUCAAUACUUUAAAUGGAAAACUUCACGAAAUCUUAUUAAUUUUAAUAUAAGAUGGCAACUAAGAUUAUCUAAAGAAUAUGGUAAACAAUAAAAAUAAUUAUUAAAUAUAUUCGAAUAAUUUAACUUUUAAAAAUAAAUUAAUUAAUUAAAAAAUUUAAUAACUAUUUUAUUGUCUCACUUUAAUAAAUGGGAAAAGUAAAAUGAAUUAAAAAAAAGGUACAUAAAUGGGUAAAUGCCCCACUCCACCUAAUAUAAGAUGGCAACUAAGAUUAUCUAAAGAAUAUGGUAAACAAUAAAAAUAAUUAUUAAAUAUAUUCGAAUAAUUUAACUUUUAAAAAUAAAUUAAUUAAUUAAAAAAUUUAAUAACUAUUUUAUUGUCUCACUUUAAUAAAUGGGAAAAGUAAAAUGAAUUAAAAAAAAGGUACAUAAAUGGGUAAAUGCCCCACUCCACCUGCCCUUCAACCCGUCUCGCACCACCUUAAACAGGUAAGGGGCGGGUGCACCCGCUACAUUACCAUCCAUAGAAGUAGUCUUCCUAUUAACAGCUUGUUAUUUGAUGUAAUAAAACUAUAAAAAAUUAAUAUCCCAAAUAAUAAGUUGGCAUGUAAAUGACUCUAACAACUGCCGACUAUAAAUAGAAUAUAUUAUACUGCGGUAAUUGAAAAUGAGGCACCGUUUGAUUCAACAAAAUUUUCCCUAGAAAAUGGAAUUUGGAUUCCAACUUCCACCAAAAAGAUAUUUGAUAGCUUAUAUUUACCAUGGAAUUGAAUUUCUUAUAUUUCUUGAAAAUUGCACUUUUCCUUGUUUUUAAGGAAUUUGUAGUCUACUGUAGCAUUUUAUUUUAUUUUUUCAUUUUUUUUACUUUUUUUAUUUUUGACAAUGGAAACCAAUUAUAAGAAUUAUCGUAAAAAAAUAUUUCUCUUUAAUUAACAAUUUUCAUGUAAAUUAAAGUCAAACGAACACCAAAAGAUAGAUGAUUUUCUUUAAUUUUUUUUUUUUGUUUUUUUAUUGGCAAUGGAAACAAAUUUCAUUCUCAAUACCAGUAAAAUUUAUCCCUUUAAUUGACAAUUUUCAUAUAAAACAAAACCAAACGAACACCAAAAAACACUUUUAUUCUAACAUUUUCCACGUGAAAAUUUAUACCAAUCAAACACAAUAAUUUAUAAUUCCUAGGAAAGCAAUUUCUAGACAAUUCAAUUCCCUAACAUUCGUUUUCAAUUCAAUUCAAUUCAAUUUUUGCAAUCAAACGGAUACUAAGAAUAAACAAAAGCAAAACAAGGGAGAUGCUGGAUGUGGCCCUGUCCUUCCAAGGCGCCUAAUUGACAUCGGUCACCCAGUCCAAUUAUCUUUAUCCGCAAAACAAAAAGGACUAUAUGAGCACCCAAGUCCAGGCCCUUCUUCGCGUACAGCGCGUUUUGGAAAGUAAAGGGUUAUUCAUAAUGUCCCACUACAUCCCACACUUUCCAUUUUCGCAUCUAUAUAAGCACCCAAGUCCAAGCCCUUCUUCUCCAUCAAAAACUCGGUUUUGAUUUAACAAACAAAAGAAGAAUCAGUAAUUGGCAAAUAGUCGAAGCCCUUCUACUCCAUUAAAAAUUGGUUUUGAACUAGCAAAGAGAAGAAUUAGCAAUUAUGCCAUGUUCUGUAGCGGCAGCAUCGAGCUCUCCCAUGUUUUACCCGUCCUCAAAAAAAUUAUCGCCGAUUUUAUGCAAGCCCGCCUCCUCACCUCCUCCACUAUCUCUUUCGCCGUUGCCUUUAGCUAUCAAAAAAUCAUUCAACAAUAAAGAUGAAGAUGGAGGAGAAGAUGGGUUAUCAAAGGUGAUGGUUUUAAAGCGGAAACGGCCGGCGAGGAUUGACAUUCCGGUACUGAACAUGGGUUUUGAUGAUAUAAAGAUGAAUGAGGAUAAGGAUGAUAAAUUGAGCGAGAUGGAGGUGGAAGGGGAAGGGUAUUCGAUGUACUGUAAGAGAGGGAAAAGAGGUGGUGUUAUGGAGGAUCGAUAUUCUUCUAUUCUGGAUCUUCGAGGGGAUUCUAAACAGGUGUGUUUUUAUUACUAUUUCAUAUAAAAAUCUCCAAUUUUAGUAUUUUUUUUUUUAAAACCAUUUUCAUUAAAUUUUAUCACAUUUAUAAAAUUAAUGAGUUUUGAUUGGAUUUACAAAUCUCAUACUUUAGGUGAGAUAGAUUUCUUUUUGUCAGGUAAUUAUGAUUUUAUGAUUACUAAAAGCUUGCUGGGAAUUUUUAUUUGUUUUUAAUAUAAUUAUCACAUUCUAGUUGUAGUGUAGUUAAAGGGCAGUUGAUGAAUUGCAGAAAUUCAAAUAUUUGAGAAAAGAAUAUCAUAUUUUUUUAAUAAAAAUGACUAAAGCGUCUGUUAUGAUUGCAGGCUUUCUUUGGUGUAUAUGAUGGACACGGAGGAGCAGGAGCUGCAGAAUUUGUGUCGAAGAAUUUAUACAGGAACGUUAUGAACAAAGUGGCGUCGAGAACCCAAGGAGGGAUUGAAGAGGCGGUGAAAGACGGAUACCUCACCACCGAUGUAGAGUUUUUGAAGGAAAAUAUCCGAGGCGGGACAUGCUGCGUGACAGCAUUGGUACACGAAGGGAAUCUCGUUGUCUCCAAUGCUGGAGAUUGUCGUGCUGUUAUGAGCCGACAAGGAGUUGCAAAGGCCCUUACCAUCGAUCACCGACCUUCGCAAAAAGAUGAAAGAAAUAGAAUAGAGAAUCUGGUGAGAAUUCUGGUCUUUAUAGUUUUCCAAAGCAAUUCCUUGAGCCCAAUUGAAAUCAAAAUCGAAAUUAUUUCUUGUUUUUUACUUCAGGGUGGUUAUGUAGAUUGUUGCCACGGUGUUUGGAGAGUACAUGGAUCUCUUGCCGUUUCAAGAGCAAUUGGAGAUAGCCAUCUUAAAGAAUGGGUAAUAGCUGAGCCAACGACUGAAGUAUUCAGAAUUACACAAGAGUGCGAGUUCUUGAUCCUCGCCUCAGACGGACUUUGGGAUAAGGUAAUAUACAAAACUAUGUUGAGCUCAUCAUCUUCAUAUCCAUAUUGUUGAAGCAGUUAUUCGAUUAAGAGAUAGUACGCUAAAAACGCAUUUUACUUUCUUUUGCAGGUUAGCAAUCAGGAAGCAGUAGACGUAGUUCAUCCUUUAUGCUUGGGCAUUGACAAGCCAGAACCAUUUUCUGCUUGCAAAAAGCUCGUGGAUUUGUCACAGUCGAGAGGUUCUUCUGAUGAUGUUAGCGUAAUGGUGAUCCUUCUAAGUCACUUCAUUCAGUGAUAUUAGUAUAUGGCACCUGCAAGUGUACAUUUUGGAAAGUUGCAGAGCCUUAGGAAUAAUCAGGACACGGAGAGGGACAUUGAUCAACUUAAAACUAUCUAUGAGAGUAAUACUUUUAUGCAUUCUGUUUGCCAUUACAAGUAAAGCGUAGGAAAUCUCACCAGUAGCAAGAAAAGGGUGACGAAAAAUUUUGGUGUUCUGUAAAUGUUAUCGUAAGGACAGAUGAUGUUCUUAACUGUUAAUCAAUAAAGGAGGAUUUCAAUAUUUAUAAGAGUUUAUGCCUUGUUCAACUUUUUGGCUGCUAAUUUGUUGGUUAAUUUUGUUUAUUAAUUGACGAGGUCUAUAUGGACCAGAAGCAAAAGAGAAGGGGAUUCCACACCCAAUAAAAGUAUAAAGCUGCAUGUACAGGGCAACCCUUCACAGGGGUUUUACAAGCCCUUCACUAUAGCAGUGGGGCCCACUUGGAAAAAAAAAUAGCGACGGCCCCCCUCAUGUGUGUUGGCCCCUGUACGAGCAGCAUGUUUCUAACUUUUAUUAAGUCUUUUAAGAAUUCCAAUUUGACAACUUUGUCUUUUGUGCAAAAAAUUUUAGCUUUCGGCUUUUUCCUUUUUUUUUUUUUUGCAUAGGUAUUUGAUUGGCUGGACUCGAGCUCGAGGAUCUUAAGGAAGAGGGGUGUACGAAAAUUUGUAAAUUAUUAUUAUACAUACCGCUAAAAUUUAAUUUUUAAUGAGUCGUAUUUGAUUUAAAUGAUUCUGUAAAUUUUUAUUUUAUAUACAGUUAAAAUUUAAUUUUAAUGAGUAGAGUUUGACUUAAAAUAUACAGUAUAUGUUGAUCUUUACGUUAUUUUGCCCAUAUUAUACUUAAACUUUAUUAUUAUUACAUAAUUAUAUUCAAUUUUUCAUAACAUGGUCCAAAAUUCGUGCAUACGAAACAGAUAAGAUCGUACUAUAUCAAUUCGCUCAUGCUCGUAUGAAUUGUAAAAUUGAUCAAACUACUCAGCUUGCUUUGCACUAUUGUUAGCAACAGUGUAUAUGUGAGCUCUAACUCUUAUAAGACUCUAAAGGUGAGAAGCUGUAAAAUCAUCAUUAAAAAAAAAAAAAAGGCAAACAAAUAUCAAAGUAAAAUGAAUACAAACUCAAACACCAAGAGAUGAGCAAGAGAGUUAUAAUUUCGAGUAGAUGAAGUUUUUAUGUAUUUUCUAAUAUUUUAACAUGUUUCAAGAGUUGCUAUUUAUAGGGUUAAGGCUGACGUGGUCACCAUUAAAUUAGAACCAUGUGGCCUCAUCCCAUUAACCGAAGCCUCCUAUCCUUUUUGCCGUCCAUUCAUUACAUUGACAAGGGGUCAGCUGCCUUACAUUCUAGGCUGCCAUUUGUGACACUUAUUAAUACAAACAUUACAUCAAUUAUUCUUACAGAUACUCUUCAGAUCCAUUUUAAAGGUAGCAAAUGCUUCGACUUUAAGUUGGAGCUUCGAAUGUACAAAAGUUUGACCAGAAGAGAAGUGCUUCAACAAAGAGAGAAUGCUUCGACAAAGAACUACGGAUAAAGACAGUGUUUCAGUCAAAGAGCAGCUUUUUCCCCUUCUUCAUUUUUGUUGUUGUGGACUAUCAGAUGUGCCCCCAUGUGGCUUUGACGUGGCCUCCACUGAGAGCUUCAAAUACGAGGCGUAACAUUGCUUAUACUUGUUUCACCAUAAACCACCUUCUUGUCCUUACAAACAUUGAAUGGAGGCCAUAAAAGCAUUUUUAAUGGUGCUUCAAAUUAUAUCUAAAUUAUGAUUUAGUGGUCGAAAACCUCUUCAAUGUACAUUUUUCAACAGAAAAUGUAAAAAGAAAUGGACUUUUACGUCUUUUCUUAGAUCUUCCUAUGGGUCCCACAAGAGAAAAAAAAUUUAUCAACUCUUUUGCACCCAAUUCUUUUAGAUAUUUCAUAGGAACAAAAUUUGGAUUUAGAUUCCCAAGAAUAUAAAUGAAGAUGUAAAAGUGAUUUUGAAAAUAUCAAUUUACACACAAUUUUACACCACCAUUAUAGAUGCUCAUGCAGUAGUUUUCAUCAUUUAUGCUCGUUAUUUUCUGUUUUAUAUGACUACCAAAAUCUCAAUUGCUCCAGAAUUAGUCUUUUUCACGAGAUAGUUCUUUAUGACAAGUGGUGUCAAAUUCCUGAUCGAUGAAAAAAAAAACCUUUCAAUUCGUAUACGUAUCAGCGUAAAGCCUUUUUUCUCUAGAAACCCUUCUCAUUUCUUCCUUCAGUUUCUGCUUGUUGUGGAGUGGGAUACUCACAAAUAACAAGCAAGCAAAUAAGAAAACAUAAAUAAGACCACUGAUAUAGGUAAAGUUUAAUUUCAAUUUCCCGUGCAAUAUGUCAAUUUUUUAAUUUUAAUUUUUGUUUUAAAGGUUAUGUUAUUAAUUCAAUAAAUAAAAAUUGAAUAAAAUUGUUAUGUUACAAAGGCGACAAUUUAACCCUCAACGAAUUAUUAUUACUACGUUGGACCCAAGUCCGUGUGCCAUGAAUUGGUUCACCAACCGUGCCUAAAAGUAUAAACAAUUUAAUAUAAGUAAUAUGUAGAAUAAUUUAAUUGCAAUAAACUAUCAUCAUUGAAACUACUAGGAUAUUUUCCACCAUCCGUAAAAUUCAAAUACUGAUAUCGGACUUCCACCAAUUUUGGUUCAACUAUCUUUUUGGAGAUUGAGAUGGCGGAAAAUCAUACUAGAAAUUGCAUGUAUUUUAACUUGUAAAAUACACGAUAAGUCAUUCGAUUUUUAUUGAAAUUUCAUUUAUAAUUUAUUUCAAUUAAGUCCUAAGCUUCAACUGUUUUGCACUAUAAGUCACUUUGUUUGGUGUCUUUACUUGCAUUAAAGUAGGUUGCCUGUUUAUGUGAUUAUUAUAUUGCAAUGUUUAAACCAUUAAAAUCUAAAUAAACACGCAAUGUCAUUUUCUACAUUUGCACGAUAAGAAACACAGAAGAAAAACAAAAGGAAAAAGAAUCCCUGUCCCUCGUAUUGAUCCAAUAGUUGCCACACCCAUCAUUUCCAUUAUAAUUCUAGAUUCACACUGACGUCACACUUCUCUCCGAAUGGCUGCUUCCAACCAAAACUAACUCGAUCACAAUCUAGAUUUGUCCUUGCCUUUAGCCCAAAUCCAGCCAUAGGCAAAGUAAUUUUUAUUUUUUAUUUUUUUACCAAUUGACAACAAGAUCACCGUAAUUUUUUAUCAAUACACUCGCACAUCCAUCUGAUAUUACAAACAAAUAUCCUCAUUGUGCCACGUUGGAAAGAAAGAUUGUGGAGAAUUUUACAUUGAAUAAGGCUAUUCAUCAACAAUGUAAUCAUCACCGGUAGCCCAUUAUUAUAUCGUCAAAUUUAUAUGUAACAUUUUAAUAUCGUGACAUUUUGGUCACUCGGUAUUGUGGUCUACUACGUAAGAGUAAGAUGUUAAAUUUUAAAAGCCAACUCAACAAAGAACAUUAGUUUCAAUGAUGGAAGGAGAAAACAAACGUGACCUAUUUUGUAAAAAAAUUAAAGUUAAGCAACUCGAUUACAAGAAAUGGAAGUUAAGUAACCUUGACAAGAUUUUGACAAUACUUGAGUGACGUGUUGUGUAUUUUACCUUCAUAUGGAUGUACAAUGUACACCAUAGACAGACAGAGACAACUAUUCUUAGAAAGUGUACAUUAAAAGAUUGGGAGAGAGUCGGUGAGCGGAUUUCGGGUUUGACCAUUGACCUGAUUCAAUCCUAAAAGCAUCCUCUGACCACCGCAUUAGAGAAUAUUUAGCGAGUGCGGUUUUCCUACUCGCGUAUUGAGUGCGUGUACUCAAUUCCUGCUAAACUUUCUACUUUUAUUUUUAUUUUAUUUUUGAAUUUUCUUGUAUUUUUUCAAUUAUGCCAAUUACGUUUUCUUAAAUUAAUUUUUUUUUCAAAAAAUGCAUUGAAUUCAUGAAUUAUAUGAUUGAAAAAAUACAAGAAAACAAAAUAAAUAAAAGAAUAAAAGAAAAAAAUUAGCAUGAUUUGAAAUACGCGCACUCAAUAUGCUAGUGGGAAAAUCGCACUCGCUGAAAUAGUAUUUUCUUAUGCCAAGUAAUGAAUAUUGAAACGUUAUUUAUAAUUUUUGUAAUUUUCUUGUUUAGUCCCCAUUUUUUAAAUUUAUUUCUUUUUUCAAAUUUAUUUUCAAUCAUACAUUUCAUAGUAUCUAUAAUUUUCAUCAAAUUUUCACUACAUAUUUAAUUGAAUUUUAUCAAAAUCAACUAAAAAUCUAAUUUUAGAUAAAUCAAAGAGAAGUUAAUAUUGUCAUCUUUUUUUCUUUUUAUAAGUUCCCUGUAUAAAUAAAAUUUAUCAUGACCUCCAUAAAUUAUGAGUCCUUAUCAUUUUAUAAGAAUAAUAUUCCUGUAGGUACUGUAUUUGUAUUGUAAAAAAUUUAUACUUACUAAGAGCCUGUUUGAAAUCUAUUUUUUGCUAGGAAUGUAUUUUGAAAUAAUAAAUUGAUAGAAAAUUAUUAUUAAAAAUUUAAAAAAAUUAAAUUUGUAUGUAAUAUUAUUUUAUUAAAAAACUUGUGAUUAAAAAGAAAAGAGAGAAUAACGGGAUCGAGGUUAAAUAUUGUCAUGUGGUUAAGAAAAUAAAACAUUUCAACUUUAACAUUAAUGUCCAUCAUUGACUGCAUAAAAUUUAUUACAGAAGUCAAUAUAAUAUAUAACAGAUAAUUAAUGUCUUUUAUCUAUUUAUUGACUAAAGUGUAAAUUAGCCAAAUCUUAGUACUGUACGCAAUAUACAAUCAGCGAAAGUUGUUUGCUUUGCUGUGACGAUGUUAAGGGAAUAUAAUCCCACAUCGGUAAAAUAUCGAAAUAAUGACCAAUAUAUAAAGGAUUGGGACACUCCUCUUAAUAAAGUUGAUCUUAUUAAGAUGGACCCCAAAUCUUAACAUGGUAUCAGAGCCCAUUAAGUUCCAACGAGCGAUUCAAUCCGAUUAAGUCUCUAAAAAUGAGCACAUAGAUUUCAAGAUUGGCCUGCUCAAACGAGCCACCAUCUUGUGGGGGCAUGUUAAGGGAAUAUAAUUUCACAUCGGUAAAAUAUCGAAAUAAUGAUCAAUAUAUAAAGGAUUGAGACACUUUUCUUAAUAAGAUUGACCUUAUUAAAAGGAUUCCAAAUCUUAACAGAGUGAAGAUUAUAAGGGGUAGUAUUAUAAAAGCAAAAUAAAAAGGAUUUCAAUUUCUUAUGCGCGUGCUCUUCGCGUACAGCAUGUUCUCGGAAGCUAAAAAUUGUCAGACCACAUCCUACUUUUUCCAACUUCAAACAUCUAUAAAUUCAAAGUCCAAGCCUUCGUUCCAUCUAAAAAAUUGAUUUUGAUUUCGCGAGCAGAAGAAAAAUCAGCAGUUGAACGCAUCCAGAACCAAUAGUUGAACUAAAAUAUCUUGAAAGAAUCAAAUUAUGCCUUGUGCGGUCACGGCGGCAUCAAACUCUCCCAUGUUUACUCAGUCCCCGAAAAAAUUAUCGCCGAGUUUCUGCAGGCCUGCCACCUCGCCUCCGCCACGUUCUCUUUCGCCGUUGCCUUUGGCCAUCAGAAAACCUUUCGACAAUAAAGGCGAAGAUGGAGGAGAAGAUGGGUCAUCGAAGGUGAUGGUUUUGAAGCGGAAACGGCCGGCGAGGAUUGAUAUUCCGGUAUUGAAUAUGGGUUUUGAUAAUAUUAAUACGAAUGAGGAUAAGGAUGUUGAUAGGUUGAGCGAGAUGGAGGUGGAAGGAGAGGGAUAUUCGGUGUACUGUAAGAGAGGGAAAAGAGGUGGAGCUAUGGAGGAUCGAUAUUCUGCUGUUCUUGAUCUUCAAGGGGAUUCUAAACAGGUGUGUUUUUAUUAAAAUUUCAUACUGUAAAUCUUCAUUUUUAGUAUUUCUUUUUCACCAUUAUUUAACUUUCAUUAAAUUUCAUAACAUUUAUGAAAUUGAUCGGUUUUGAUCAGAUUUACGGAUGUCAUACUCAUUUAUUAAUAUAGUAGUUCAAGGGCAGUUGAUGAACUGCAGAAAAAUUCAAACCUUUGAGAAAAGAGUAUCAUAUUUGUUAAUGAUGUCGUCGUGUAAAAUGACUAGAGUACUUAGUAAUCAUUAUAGACUUAAACAGUAUCUAUUGUGAUCGCAGGCUUUCUUCGGUGUAUUCGAUGGACAUGGAGGAGCAGGAGCUGCAGAAUAUGUGGCUAAGAAUUUAGACAGGAAUAUUAUGAACAAAGUGGCAUCGAGAACCCAAGAAGGAGGGAUUGAAGAGGCAGUGAAAGAAGGAUACCUCGCGACAGAUGUAGAGUUUUUGAAGGAAAGUAUCGGAGGUGGGACAUGCUGCGUGACUGCCUUGGUACACGAAGGGAGUCUUUUCGUCUCCAACGCUGGAGAUUGUCGAGCCGUUAUCAGCCAACAAGGAGUUGCAAAAGCCCUCACCGUUGAUCACAGACCUUCACAAAAGGAUGAAAGAAAUAGGAUAGAAAAUCUGGUGAGAAUUCUGGUGUUCAUUAGUUUCUUUAAACCAAUGGCUUGAGCCCAAUUGAAAUCGAAUCGCAGCCAUUUCUUGUUUCUGAUGGAUUUUGCAUUUUUCCGUUUCAGGGUGGUUAUGUCGAUUGUUGCCGUGGUGUUUGGAGAGUACAUGGAUCUCUUGCCGUUUCGCGAGCAAUUGGAGAUAGCCAUCUCAAAGAAUGGGUAACAGCCGAGCCAACAACCGAAGUACUCAGAAUUACAGAUGAAUGCGAGUUUUUGAUCCUCGCCUCAGACGGACUUUGGGAUAAGGUAAUAUACGAGACUAUGUUGAGCUCAAUGUAGUCAUGUCCACGUUGUUGAAGCUACAAAUUCUUGUUACUUUCUUUGCAGGUUAGCAAUCAGGAAGCAAUAGAUAUAGCUCAUCCUUUAUGUGUCGGCAUUGACAAGCCAGAACCAUUUUCUGCUUGCAAAAAGCUGGUGGAUCUGUCACAAUCGAGAGGAUCUUUAGACGAUAUUAGCGUUGCUGUGAUCCUUCUAAGUCGCUUCAUUCAGUGACUCGUAUGUUAGGAAUAACUUGAUAUAGAAGUAUAUGGCACCUGCAAGUGUAAAUUUUCGAAAGUUGCAGAGCCUUAGAGGAGAAAUCAGGAUGCAGAGAGUGACAUUGAUUAACUUAUACUUAGGAGAAUAAUUCUUGUAUGCAUUCUGCUGGCCAUUACAUGUGCCAGAAGCAUAGGAAUAUCACCAGUAUAUAACAAGAAAAGUUUGACGAAAGAUUUUGAAAUUCUGUGAAUGUUAUGCCUCGUUCAACUUUAUGGCUGCUAAUUUGUUGGUUAAUUUUGUGUAUUAAUUGACGAGGUCUCUAUUGACCGAAAGCAAAAGAGAAGGGAUUACCAUAUCCAAGAACUUGUAUCAUCUUUAAGAAUUCCAAUUUGGUAACAAACACUUAUGACAGGUUAAUUUUCUUUACUAUGACAGGUUAAUUAAAUGGGUCAAACCGACUCAGCUUGCUUUCAUUACUACUUUAAACAAGGUUAAUAAAGUAUAUAUGUGAUUUAUAGCUUUUACAAACCUUUAAAAUGAAGAAGUUGUAGAAUCAUCAUUAUCAAUAAUGUUGUAAAAUCGUAAUUGACAGACUCUCACAAUUGAAAAAGAACGAAUAGUGGCAAAUAUAAGUUUAUGAAUAAUUCUACUUGAAUAGAUAUCUGUUCAAAGGGCAUCCUGCCAAUAAGGGGCGCCACAUGCAACCCCCCCCCCCCCCCCCCCGGGGGUUUGGACAGAUAGCAAAGCCCUAAGUUUAUUGAUGGUUGCUUAAGCUGUAGCUAAUUGUUAAUAUAUCAUCAAAGAGGAGGAUUCUUCUUGCUAUACGAUGGUAGUAUUUCUUUGCCAAUCUAGAGGUCUAUGUGAAGUCGAUCUUCACUAGCACUUAAUAUUAAUUAAUGAAGAAAACUUUUUUGUGCUUAUCUUCCUUCAAGUCUUCAACUCAUCACGCAUAUAAAUUGGGAAUUGAAAAAUUGCACAAAAUUUUGUUUCAUAAAGUAAGUAAUUUUUUUUGGUUGAUUAAAAAGAAUUAAUUUUUCAACACAUUAAAAAAAAUUAUGAAUUAAAUUUUCAACAAUAAAAUAUUAUGCAAGUAAAUUCAAAAUCAAUAAGAAUUGAGAAAUUUUGAUUCGUCUCAUCAAAAAAAAAAAUAAUAAUAAUAAUAAAAUAAUAAUAAUAAUAAAAUCUAAUUUUUAAUUAUACUUUCACAAAAAAUGACUAUUUAAAAACUCAUUUUCAUCUAAAGACUCAUCUUAAUGGUUGUUAACAAGGGUUAAAAUUUAGAACAUCUUCGUAGUUAUCGUAAAGGAAAAUUCACAAGUCAUGUAUUAAGUAUGGACAAUUCAAUUUUCAAGUUUUACGUUUCGAAAUUCAAAAAUCAGGUAUUAAUUAAUUAUUUAAAAAUAUUUUAUUAAUUAAAUAUAUUAAUGUCACAAUAAUACAAUUCAUGAUCACAGAUGCAUACUUAUAGGUCACAAUGUCACAUAUUAUCAAAUUAAUUGAUUACAAAUUAUUUCUUAGGUAACAAAUAAAAAACAUUAUAUGUCACAAUUUACUUGUUAGUUACAAAUUUUCAAAUUAGUUGAGCACAAAUUAUUUUCAGUCACAUAUUAUCAAAUUUUUAGAUUACAAUUGAAUACUUGGUCGCAGAUAACUAAAUCAUAGGUCACAUACACCAAAUAGUGGUUGACAUAGCCACUAUCACUAUAGCCACUUGCGACUACCUUUACCCCACCACCACCACCACCACCACCACCAUCGCCACGACAACACCACCACAACCACCACUAUCAGAUCUCUAGCCACUUAUAACCACCUCCACUCACUUAUUAACGAUUUAAUAAGUCAUAAAUGCCGACCCUCCCCAACAAAAAUGCACCACCACUGCCAUCGUCACCGCCACCGCCACCAUUUUUGUAACACACCAACAAUAACCUACACCACUACCAUCGCAUCACUACCACCUCACCACCAAUACCAUAUCAAACACCACCUGUAGCACCACCAUAUCUGCCACCAUCUCAUAUCCCCCAAACCACCCCAAAAUCAUCCAAAACUGGUUUAAGUAGUUUAGAUGUCAAAAUAAGCUGGUUCUCAUAGAGCCUCCUACAGAACUGUAGCAGCGACGAGGGUGAUCCUGCUGCCGAUGCUCGCAUUACCGGCUACGAUGGUGGUGCACAAUAGCAACGAUGUUUGUGCUCGACUCUCAUAUCAAGCAAGGCCUUGUAUCGAUGUUCGAAGGUAAUGCGAUGCUGUUGUGAACAGCCAAUGCUGUCGUUCGCAGCAGCAGCAGCCGAAGAGUUCUAGUAGCCCCCGAUGCCAACAUUGUUGACCGGCACAAAUCCUUCAUUGUCGGUCGUCGACGUUUGAAGAGAGAGAAGGGAGAGAUGUAUAGAUGAGAGGGAUAGGAGAGAGAGUGUGUUAUGGAGAUAAAUUAGGGUUUUGAUAAAUGGAUGGGUAAGGUGUGUUUUGAUAUCUAUUUGUGAAUAACGAAAUUUCAUCCUUUAUUUUUGAAUUGUAAUAUUUAAACACUUGGGGUUGGGAUUAUGUAAUUUCCAAUUCUCAUAAAUCGAGUUUAGACAUGGGCCAAGGAUUUAAAGAAGUAGAUAAAGUUUGGAUCACAUUUGGGAUUGGGUUUGGGCUUGGUCGCAUCCACCACGGUGACGGUAGGGUUGGCAAUGGGCCGAGCCGGCUCGGCUCGGCUCGGCCCUUAAUGCCACGAGCUCGGCUCAUGCUCGUGGCGAGCCGAGCUCGUGGCUCGUUUUCAACGAGCCAAGAAUUGGGCGAGCUCGGCUCGGCUCGCGGGCUCGCCUACUUUUUUUUUUUUUAAUAAAGAAUAGAGUUUCAAAAAUAAAAAGUGUUAAAAAAUACAAAUAAUUUAACGAAAACAAUUUUUUAUUUUUUUUAUUUAUAUCAUAUUGUAAUUUGUAAUAUUUUUUAUAAGUUAUAAAAUAUUUAUAUAAUGAAAACGAAUUAUUUUUUAAAAUACAUUUACAAAAAAUAUUUUUUUUAUUUCUUUUUAAAGUUAAUAAAGAAUAGAUUUUUAAAAUAAAAAGUGUUAAAAAUACAAAUAAUUUAACGAGAACAAGUUUUUAUUAUUUUUUUUAUUUACAUCAUAUUGUAAUUUGUAAUACUUUUUAUAAAGUAUAAAAUAUUUAUAUAAUGAAAAUGAAUUAUUUUUUGAAAUACAGUUACAAAAAAUAUAUUUUUUUGAUUUCUUUUUAAAGUUAAUAAAAUAUAAACCCUCCUCCUUUAUCCAAGCUUGGGACCGACUACAUCAAUUUUAAGUAGGCGGAGUUAAAAAUUGUACACGAAUAACUUGUUGUAACGUGUACAAUUUUUUAAAGAAAAUUAAAUUUAACGAUUAAAAAAUAAAAAAAUUGAUUAAUAUAAUUAAAUCAAAUAUUACUUACCUGACGACAUGCAAUUUCAACGUAUUUAUCUUGUAAUCGAAAAUGAGCGUCCUGCCAAUCCUUCACACACAUUAACGCUUCCAAAACAUCUGCUUUCAAUCGACUCCUGACAUCAGUUAAAACCCUUUUACCUGCACUAAAAGCAGACUCCGAAGCAACAGUGCUAAUCGGAGGUGUCAAUAGAUCUUUCGCAAUUGCAAAAACAAUUGGCCAACGUCUUUCAUACUUUCGCCAGAAUUCAAUUAUUUUUUCUGAAAUUUUGUUAAUUGUUCUGUUUGUUGGCAUAUUAUGAUUGAAAUAAUCAAUUAAUUCGGCAGGCAUCGCAUUUUGAGUUUCGACCGAUGUUUGAUGAGAUGCAGAUGACAUGGCAUUAGAUAUACACAUUGCAGUUGCAUCAUAUCUAAAUGUAUUAAUGCCCUGAAAUAAAUUCAUUAUUUUCGCAGCAUCUUCUUCAAUUUCAGCAGAAGGAGUAGAUGCAGCAGAGGGUACCCGACUAACAUUUGCACCCAUUCUUUCCGCAUAUAAAUCAUACAUUCCACAUAAUGUUUGCUCUAAAUUCUUAUAGGUGAUAGGUGUAUCAAGUAAUAAAGCUUUAUUGAUUUGAUCAAUUACGUAUUUAGUUCCCGAAAUAUUAUAUCGAGGGUCCAUUGCACAUGCUAAAGGAAAUAAUAUAGGCAGUUCUUCCCAAUAUUUUCUAAACUUUAAUUCCAUAGCAAUUAAAAUUUCACUAAAAGCAGGAUCAUUUUUUAUAUUUAUGGAAUGUUCUUGUAAUUAUAUAAAGGCAUUCAAGCACUAUACAACUUGUGGGAUAAUAAACGUCGAUAAAAUCUUUGUGGUCUCAUAAAAAGAUGUCAAAAAUUGUUUAACUUUCAAAGCUAAAAUCCAAUCGGAUUCAUUUAACAUACCAUCAUCAUCACUUCUAACAUGUCUAUUAUUAUAAAAGUCAGUUAUUAAAUUUUUGAAACCUUUACAUGAUUUUAAUAGCAAGUAUGUAGAGUUCCAUCUAUGACCUACAUCGCUAACAAAUGUUUUAGCAGUCAUCACCCCUAGUUCGGCACAAAAAUCUUCAAAUACUUGUUUUCUAUUAGGAGAGAUCGUAAUAUAAACUAAUGCAUUCCUAAUCCUUUGAAGUUCAUCCUUUAUAUGUUUUAAACCAUCUUGCACAAUUAAAUUCAAGAUAUGACACACACAACGAAUAUGAAACAAAUACCCACCAAAAUCAGGUUGAAGUGUCCUACACAAUUUAUUGACGACUACCUUAUUAACGCUAGCAUUAUCAAAAGUAAAAGAUCGAAUUUUACUCUCACAAUGAUAUUAUCUAACAAUAUUGAUAAUAGCAUUAUAUAUAUUAUUAGCAUUGUGAGAAAAUUCAAUAAUUUUAAAAGCAAUAAUUUUCUUAUGCAUACACCAAAGUGGGUCUAUAUAGUGUGCGGUUGCAGCUAUAUAUGCUCUUUUAUUAACCCCUUCCCAUGUAUCAAAAUUUAAGGAUAUAACACCCUCAUAUUGUUACAAAUCCAUAAUUAAUUGUUGUUUUGAAUUAUUGAAAUAAUUUAUUGUAUCGGCACGAGGAGUGUUUCGACUUACCCCAACGUACCUCGGUUGUAGAUAUUCUUUCACGAACGAGACGAAGUGUUGGUUGUUUGCAAUAGCCAGAGGCAACUCAGUGGCGGCAACAAAUUUCACCAUUCCAGUUCGAGUCUCAUCCUCCGAAUACACCCACGUGGAUAGGGGUGAAGUUGUAUAACCAACGCCUGGACUGCCAAAUUGUAAUUGUGUUUGACUAGCUGGAAGAAGUUCAUGUCUGGCUGCACAUGAUUUGUAGUGGCGGUUGAGAUGAGUGGUACCAAUUCCUUUUUGCCAUGCCAAUCUUUGUUGGCAGUAUUUACAUACUGCUUUAGAUUCUGCAAGGCCAUCAACGACUUUUCCCGUUGAAAUCAACUUAAAGUGAUCCCAACAUUUUGCUUGUUUUUUGGCAUUUCGCUUUCCCCUCGCAUCUAGGAUAUUUAAUUGUCGAUUUUCAUCUUCAUGUUCCGUUUCGGGAACGUUAAUAUCAUCCAAAUCAAUUGGAAUGUGGCUUCCCUGACCGUGAAUGUGAACAUCUUCAGGUAUCGGUAUGUCUUUUAGACCGGCAAAUCCAUUUGGAAAUUGACUUUUUCACGUACUAGGUGAUUCUUCAUGAUGCGGCAAUGACUCACAUCCUGUAUCGAACAAGUUCUCAACAAAUGAACGUUGAUCCAUUUCUGUGAUUAUUUAUGAUGAAAUCUUNNNNNNNNNNNNNNNNNNNNNNNNNNNNNNNNNNNNNNNNNNNNNNNNNNNNNNNNNNNNNNNNNNNNNNNNNNNNNNNNNNNNNNNNNNNNNNNNNNNNUAACACAACAUUAGCAAAAUGAAGGAAUAAAUCAAAAGGAAUAUCAAUCAUAUUAAUACUCAAUACACAUAAUUUAUAAUUGUGCUCAUCUUUUGACGAGAUAUCUUGUGAAAAGCUCAAUCCUCAUCUUCCAAUAUGAGUGUACAAAUGUAUAGGUUUCUAAAAAGCUCCGGAUACGGUUCUAAAAUUCAUGCCAAACCACAACAAGAUUCUUCAUAGUUAACGUAAUAUGGUGAAAUUAAACAAAAGUAAUAAUAUUUUCUCGCAUAUUUCACUAAUCUAUUGAAGAACCACAAACUUAUAUAAAUGGUUCUUUCAAUUAUUUCAUUUGUGGCUACCACUAUAAUUCUUGAUUCUUUUAAGCUUCCCAAAUUAUUUUCAUAAAAUCGCUUUUAGUCUCUUAGACCUUUCUCAUCAACAUUGUAAGAGAAAUGCCAAUGCUUAAAGGAUUGGAAAGCAGAAAAAUAAUACACCACAUGUAAGAUGAAGGAAUUAUUUUCUAACAUACCGUGUGUGUAAGUAUUAUGACCUAAGUCCAAUCAACUCUGGACAUAAAUACUUUUGAUAUAUAAUUAAUACAAUUUAAUGGCAGAUUUAUUAUUUAAUUAAUAGACAAUUAAAUAAAUAAUAGAGUUCGUAGAUUCAAAUUUUCGCAAUUUGUUAAUCACAAGAGUUGUGAUUAUGAGAUAUAUAUUACAUCUGAUUGAAUCUUAAAUCGUUCGUGGUCAUAAGUAAUAACGAGAUACGGAUAUCGUUACUACGGAUGGACCAUCACAUGUAGCAUUUCUUACUUGUGAAGUAAGUAGCUGAUCUCACAAGCUAAAGUGUGGUGACACUUAAAUAAACACGUGGAUGUUUUGUUAUAGAACAAAACAUUGGAGACCCGUCGAGAGAUUCCACAUAGAUAACUAUAUGAGUGUCAAUGGUUAAUCUCUAACGUUCGGUAGUGGAAUUGGUCCUUUGACUUGAGGUCGUCAUGGCACCUUAUAUGAGGACAGUCAUACUUUGACGGUGUUGGAUGUUGCUCUGCAAAGGGCCACUAAUACGACGUCGUUCGGGUACGUCAAGAAUCGUAUGAAGGUUGUGAUUGAUCAAUAAAGGAUUCGUCACUCUUAGAUAGUAGGAGAUUGUGAUCUGCGUUUCAUUCAAUUAAGUCGAUGAUGAAAUCCUUGGCCAAAUUGUACUCAUAAGUUGAAAAGAAGUUUUCGAGUUAUAUGACUUAAUAAUGGAGUGAAAGAUAUGAUCGAUGAUCGAGAUUGACACACUUCCAUAUCUCGUAAUUGAUCGGAUCAUAUUGACAAAAGGAUUAUAGUUUCACGGUAAACAAACGAGUUUAGUUUUGUCACACCACAUGACAUUUUUCGUCACAUGUAUUGCCCUGACACGUUGCUAGAUGUCAAUCAAGGACGACGAGUGUGAAUUCAUGAUAAAUUAAAAGAGUGUUUUAAUUUAUCAAUUUUGAUUUGAUCAAAAUAAUAUUUCACGUCGUUAGGCAUCGUGGUCGAGAACCUAAUGGGUUGCACACAAAAGAGAAUUGGAAGAUUGCAAAUUGCCAAUUGGUUAAUUUAACAAUUGUUGGAUAAAUUAAUUAAUUGGAUUUGUUAUUUAUAUUCCGAAUUAAUUAAUUGGAUUAAUUAAUUCACGGACAGUAUUUAAUUAAAUGAAUUAAUUAAGUAUUGGACCGGACCGGACCAGGCCGAACCCGUUUGGGUUUAUAUAGAUACAUGACUAGGGUUUGAGGUCCAUAUGAUUUUUCUCAUAAUUAUUCUUGCUAGUACAAGAGGAGGAAACCCUGGUAGCUGCAAUCUUAUUCUCUGUGUGGAUCACCGUCGGAGGUUGGACAAUUGGACGGCUGUGGGUAGCGAAUCAAAAUUGCUGGAACGAAAAGAAAAGCAAAAGGUUUGCAGAAUUCUUCAAAGGUAUAAUCUUUAUCACGAUUUCUAUCUAAAUACAAAGGGAUUCUCGGUGAGAAUUGAAAUAAUUCUUUAAUUUUCCGUUGUGCAUGUAUAAGUAGAUUCCCAACAAUAGUAUCAGAGUCUCCUUUGUGUUUGUUAGAAAUUGCUUUGCAUAUUGAAAUAAUUAAAUGUUAAUUGUUUUUCUUGUUUUAGUGAUUAAGGAAAUAAAUAAUUUUUCAUGUUCAAAAUCAGAUUUUGAAUAGAAGUUAUUUUUUGGGAUUAGAAUAAUUUAUGAAAUCUGUUUUAAAAAAAAAAGGGUGGGAUGCCGACGACAAUAGUUGCUACCGACGGCGGCAACGCGGCUACUGGCUGCCGGUGCGACAGCGGCAUCGCCGCUGCUGAUGCUGUAGGAGCCGCCAGAAGAAGUAAAAGAAAAUAAAAAAAAAUAAAAAAAACCGUUAGGGUUUCAGUUGGUUUCGGGUGAGAUGCAUUGGAGGCGGGGGCUUCUGAUGCAAUUUAUGAAAUUGCAAGCCCCCGUUUGCAAUAUCCAUUUUGGGGUCAAUUUAUAAGUUAUUUAAGUAAGGGACCGUUUUGCAUUAUUUGAUAUUGAUGACCCUUGUAAUUUCACUUUGGUGGUAAAUGUGUAAAUAUUGAAAUAAGGGCCUUUUUCAUAAUUUCAGAAAUCGGAGGCCUGUUUGGUAUUUUUAAAAUGGGUCAAAUUUUGAAUUUUCAAAAAUGUAUUGAAUUUUAAAUUUGGAGGUGUUUUACAUUUGAUUUCCAAAUGGGUUUGACCCACAAUUUUAAUUUUGACCCAAAUUAAAGAUUUUAUUUAAAGUUGACGACAUUUUAUAUUUUGUUAAAAUUGGAUUUUAACUUCAAUAUUAAAUUUUGACCCCAAUUGAAUUUUAUUUUAUUUAGGAGUGUUAUCCUAGUUUAAAAUAUUGAUUCAAUUUGAAUUAGAGUUGGACUCUAAUUUAGGACUUAAUUAAAAUUCGAUUUUAAUUAAUUUUUCACCCAAAGAUAUUUUAGAAAUUAGAACUGGAUUCUAAUUUGACGUUUAAUUAAAAUUUGAUUUUAAUUAAAUUGUUUCGCCCUAAACUUUUCUUUAGAUUAGAGUUAAAACUCUAAUUUGGUGUUUGAUUAAAAUUUGAUUUUAAUUAAACGGGUUGGCCCUAAAAAUCUUAGAUUUAGAGUUGGACUCUAAUUCUUCUAUUUAAUUAAAAUUUGAUUUUAAUUAAAUUCAACCGUCUUAAGUUAUGAAAUUAGAGUUGGACUCUAAUUUAAUAUUUAAUUAAAUUAUCCCGCAUUAUAAUUGUUGAAUUAGAGUUGUACUCUAUUUUGGUAUUUAAUUAAAAUUUGAUUUUAAUUAAACAUGCCGCUAAUUAAAUAAUUGAUUAAUGUGAUUAAUUAAUUAAUUAUUUAAUUGUUCCGAUCCAUUUGUCUAAAGGAGUUUAGACGAUUUAAUUGCUAGAAAUUUGAAACUUAUUUGCAUAUAAUAUUAGAUAUUAUAUAGGUAUACAUUUAUGUGAUGAAUGUGUUAUUAGUGGACGAUUAUGGACUCGACCAUAUGGAUGUGUUGAAUGGUUAAUUUUUAUUAUUGUUGUUUUCUGAGCCUGCGAGUUCUUAAUUGUUUUGGGCCUGCGAGCUCUUGAUCAUUUUGGACCUGCGAGUCCAUUAUUAUUAUUAUUAUUGCUGUGGGCCUGAGAGUCCAAUUUCAUUUAGGACUGCGUGCCAACUAGUAUAGGAUACAGAUUGCAACUGGACUAAUUAAAUAAACAAGAAGAGGAGGAGACCAUGGAGAUGGUACAUUAACAACUAAUCAAUGUAAUACCCCAUAGGAAUUGACCAACUAGUCUUCCUUAUGGCUCGGGAAGACUAGAUAGUAAAAAUCCAUCAUCGUCCACACUAUUAUAUGUUAUAUAUAUUUAUUUGCAUGGUAGAUGUAUAAUAAUAUAUAUUAUUAUUAUUGUGAUGAGACCUUUAAAUGCAAAAUCCCUCCAUAAAAUAUUAAGUCGCAUUUAUAAUCGCCUUCCAUCAUUAUAGUGAAAAAUCAGAGUCUCAAAUCGUCGCAGCUUGUUAAGUACACUCAAGGAUGGUCCAUUAGGGAUAUGUUUGACACUAUGAAAUAUUUGAUAUUUUUGAAUGACGAGUUUGACUUAACUAAAAUUUAUCUUUUGUUAAGUACGCUCAAGGAGAUAAAUUUUAGAGGCAUGUUAAGCUAACACAUAAGAUGUGUGAAGAUAAAGAGUUGUCAGCUUAAUGAUCUGGGAGUUGUAUGGAGAUAUAAUUGAUAAUAGUAUCUACCCAAAUGUUAUAUUAAAACUUGUUGAGUACACUCAAGGUCUUAGUAUAACAGAUGGGAUCCCAGCCCACUGGGAGUCGAGUAUGAACUCCAUAAAUUUAUGUCAGAGGGUCAUAAAUUUGAAUUAAACAGUGGGAGUGUAAUUAAUUUAAUAAAAGUCCAUGUUAAAUUAAUUCAAGCAUUUUUAUAUAUUAUUCUUUUUCUUUUCGUCAUUCAUAAUUGUUGAAUCGUGAGUAAUCAUAUAUUUUGAAUGGCAUACUGGAUGCCAACAACCAAAUUAAAUCUUUUGAUUGGCACUACAAUUUGAGAAUUGUUCUCAAGCAUGAGAAAGUUGGUUGUCCUUAAAUAACCAUUUUCCAGAGACACCUGGUGAUGACUCGGUUAAGGAAGAGGUGGCUGCUAUAAUAAAUGCAAUGAUGACAAUAGUACUGCAACGUAUGUGAUACUUACAACUAUGUCACUGAGUUACAAAAACAACUUGAGAGUAUAAAUGUUAACACAUAAUUCUUCAUUGCAAAGAGUUGUGUGAUAAUAAUCAUGUGUGGAAAGAUAUGAGACCUCCAAACAACUAUACUGAUGCAAAAUGAUAGAGUAAUCUUCAAUCGAUGCUUAGACACUGAAGAUGAUUGACGUUGAGAAAUGUCUCAAUUAAGUUCAAUCAUAAACCAUGAACUAAGUAGUCACUUAUUUCUGCAAUCCCUAUCAGAGAAAGCUAUUCACAACUAAUUAUGAAUUUAACGUGUAUAAGCUUGAAUGCACAAUUAUUGAGUUGCUUAACAUGCUUAACACUGUUAAGCCCAACAUCGAAGUUAGUAGUGGGCAAGCCAUUGAUUCCUCUAAAGAUAUUAAGAGGAAGUCUAAAGGGGCUUUGUGAAAGUGUCCAAUAUGGUUAAGACCGUCAAAGCGAAGGACUAUACCAAAUCUAAUGACCCUUGAUUUCAUUAUAGAAUGAAAGGUCAUUGAAAGGAAUAUUACGUGACUUACGUCUACUUCACGAGUUUCUAGGUAUUUGAUACUAGAUGUAAAUUCCAUAUUUAUACAAAUAUGGAGAAACUAAAAAGAAGUAGACCACUGCGAAAGGGAGAAGUUGACAUACACAUUGGAGAUGAGCAAAGGUUGCUGCAUUGCCUGUAUGAAUAUACUUCUUGCCAUUGCCUUUUGGUUUAGUAUUGGAAUUAGAGAAAUGUCGCUUUAUACCAACCAUAGCUGGAACAUUAAAAUGAAUUUCAUGUUCGGACAUGAACUAUUUUAAUGUUAAGGACAAUUGUUAUUCUUGUUUAUCUUGAUAAAGAUCCUAAUGGCUAUGGUAAAUUACAAAACGACAUUUAUAUUCUUUAAUACUAAAGAUUCUAUAAUGAGUAUAGAAAUUAUAAGGCAUAAAUACGAUAAUCUAAUUAUUACCUAAAUCUGGCAUGGCGGACUUUGUCAUAUAGAUGAAAAGAAAUUCCAAAGUUACAUAGAGAUGAAUACUUGGGAUUAAUUGAUUUUGACAAGUACAAAUUAUGCAUGUCUGGCACAAUGACCAAAUCUUCUUUUACUUGAAAAGAAGAAAGGUCAGUAUAAUUACUGAUCCAAUGCAUAGUGAUGCAUAUGGACUCGUGUCAAUUAAUGUCGGGUAAUGUUUCUCUUAUUUCAUCAAUGAUCAUGUAUACUUGAUGAAAAGUCAAACAUGAAAUUCUUGAAAAGUUCAAAGGAUUCAAACUAGAAGUAGAGAAACAAAUAGGUAAAGAUACCCUCACAUUAAGAUUCGAUCAAGCGAGAGUAUCUUAAAGAUAAUAUUUAGAUUAUCUAAGAGAGAAUGAGAUUCUCUUGCAGUGGGCUCCUCCACAUACACUGCAGCAUAGUGGUGUAUCUAAAAAGAGGAGUCGUUAACUAUUAGAAAUAAUGCGAUUAAUAACAAAGCCAUGCAAAUCUCCCAAAAAUGUUUUGGGGCCAUGCAUUGAUUGCAAUGUGCAACACACUAAAUCAUGUCCCAUCUAAAUUGGUUAACAGAACUCCAUACGUGUUAUGGAAAGGUAAUAGUCACAAUUUAUCUUAUAUGAAAGCUUGUGGCCAUGACGCUUAUUUGAAGCGUCUUGAAUCAGAUAAAUUUGACACUAAAUCUGACAAAUACGUAUUUGUGGGGAUAUUCAAAGGAGACAUUUGAAUAUAAAUUCUAUUAUCAUGAAGAAAGUCUUCGUCUCACGACGUAUCGUCUUCUUAGAGAAAAUGUUUACUCUAGGAGAGGAUAGUGGGAGCAAAAUAGAACUUGAAAGAGUUCAAGAGUCCACAGAUAUAGUUAACCAAGUAGAUAAAUUCGAGUUUGAUCUCAUAUCUAAUAUGGGACAUACUCUUGAUCAGGAAGUAAAGACUCCUGAGGGCAUAUCAGCUCUAUGUGAAUUUAGUAGGAUCAUUCGACCUUCAAGAAGGUGCGAAUCCAUGAUUAUUAAUCAGGUAUUACUGAUCCAGGAUAAUGAACUUGCUAGUUGUACCAAAAUAAAGUCAAGUGUUGACUUAAAAGAGACAGUAAGAGGUCAUGAAGCUCGAGAUGAACUCGACGUAUAUGAACAAGGUUUGGGCCUUGGUCGAGCCUCCUGAUGGAAUAAAACCUAUAAAGUUUUGUAAAUAGUUUACAAGGAAAAGGUUGAUGUGGAUGUGAAUAUCUAUAUAUACAAAGCAAAGGUUAAGUGUUGACCUUGGUGAACCCUUUCUCCUGUAGCCUUGCUGAAGUCCAUUCGAGUUUUACUUGUAACAGUUGCAUACCGUGACUAUGGGUUAAAAGAAGUCUCUUGGAGCUGAAAUCUUAGAUUUGAUGGAAAAGUCAAAGUGUUUGAUUUUAUCAAAUUUGAAGACGAAAUAUGUGUUUACAAGAAGAUAGUAGGAGCAUUGUCGUAUUCUUAAUGUUAUGGAAAACGACAUCCCUAUUUUUCAAUCGUUGAAAUAAUGGUUGUUAAAUGUUUUAUUCAUGAAUGAUAUGGGAGAAGCAACUUGAUCUAUAAAGGUAGAUCUAGAAUAUUGCUUAACUCAUCCCAAUUUAUAUAGAUGAAAUCUUAAGAAGAUUUCAUGGGGAGAAACUGGUUUACUCUUAAGCAGUAUGUUGGAAAGAUUCCAAACGUGAAGCGACUGUUGAUUCAAUAGUAGAAACUUAAUACAUGAUUACUUCAGAAGUAGCAAAGAGUUGCAAUCUGGAUCAUGAUGUUCAUAAAUGAACUUGGGGUAGUUCCUGAUAUUGUUGAUCACAUGCCAUUGUAUUGUGAAAACAAUAGAGCCAUUGCGAAAACGAAGGAACUAAGGUCCAUCAAUGAUCCAAAUACGUAUUAAGGCGGUAUAAUCUCAUCAAAGAGAUAAUACAUAGAAAUGACAUAAAGAGAAGAACAAAUUCCCACAUUUAACAAUAUUGCAAAUCCACUGACAAAGAGUUGUCGUAGCAUAAACAUGAUCGUCACGUAAACUUAUGAUAUUGGAUACAUAAGUGAUUGGAUCUAGUGCAAGUGGGAGUUUGUAAGUAUUAUACCCUAUGUCGAAUCAACUCUGAACAUAAAUACUUUUGAUAUAUAAUUAAUGUAAUUUAAUGACAGAUCUAUUAUUUAAUUAAUAGACAAUUAAAUAAAUAAUAGAGUUUGUAGAUUCAAAUCUUCGCAAUUUGUUAAUCACAAGAGUUGUGAUUGUGAGAUACAAAUUACAUCUAAUUGAAUCUUAAAUCGUCCGUGGUCAUAAAUAAUAACGAGAUACAUAUAUCGUUACUACGGAUAAACCAUCACGUGUAGCAUUUCUUACUUGUGAAGUAAGUAGCUGAUCUCAUAAGCUAAAGUGUGGUAACACUUAAAUGAACACGUAGAUAUUUUGUUAUAGAACAAAACAUUGGAGACCCGUCGAGAGAUUCCACAUGGAUAAUUAUCUGAGUGUCAGUGGUUAAUCUCUAACGUUCGGUAGUGGAAUUGGUCCUUUGACUUGAAGUUGUCAUGGUACCUUAUAUGAGGACAGUCAUACUUUAGCGGUGUUGGAUGUUGCUCUGCAAAAGACUGCUAAUACGACAUCAUUUGGGUACGUCAAGAAUCUUAUGAAGGUUGUGAUUGAUCAAUAAAGGAUACGUCACUCUUAGAUAGUAGGAGAUUAUGAUCUGCGUUUCAUUCAAUUAAGUCGAUGAUGAAAUCCUUGGCCAAGGUGUACUCAUAAGUCGAAAAUGAGUUUUUGACUUAUAUUGACUUAAUAGUGGAGUGAAAGAUAUGAUCGAUGAUCAAGAUUGACACACUUCCAUAUCUCGUAAUUAAUCGGAUCAUAUUGACGAAGGGAUUAUAGUUUCAUAGUAAACGAACGAGUUUGAUUUUGUCACACCACAUGACAUUUUUCGUCACAUGUAUUGCCCUGACACAUUGCUAGAUGUCAAUCAGAGACGAUGAGUGUGAAUUCACGAUAAAUUAAAAGGGUGUUUUAAUUUAUCAAUUUUGAUUAGAUCAAAAUAAUAUUUCACGUCGUUAGGCAUCGUGGUCGAGAACCUAAUGGGUCGCACACAAAAGAGAAUUGGAAGAUUGCAAAUUGCCAAUUGAUUAAUUUAACAAUUGUUGGAUAAAUUAAUUAAUAGGAUUUGUUAUUUAUAUUCUCGAAUUAAUUAAUUGAAUUAAUUAAUUCACGGACCGGAUUAAUUAAAUGAAUUAAUUAAAUAUUGGACCGGACCGGGUCGAGCCCGUUUGGGUUUAUAUAAAUACAUGGCUAGGGUUUGAGGUCCAUAUGGUUUUUCUCAUAAUUAUUCUUGCUAACACAAGAGGCGAAAACCCUGGUAGCUGCAAUCUUAUUCUCUGUGUGGAUCACCGUUGGAGGCUGGACAAUUUGACAGCUGUGGAUAGCGAAUCAAGAUUACUGGAACGAAAAGAAAAGCAAAAGGUUUGCAGAAUUCUUCAAAGGUAUAAUUUUUAUCACGAUUUCUAUCUAAAUACAAAGGGAUCCUCGGUGGGAAUCGAAAUAAUUAUUUUAUUUUUCACUGUGCAUGUAUAAGUAAAUCCCAAACAGCGUGGACAGGUGACCAGCGCUCGCUAGCAAGCUCAUAGCCAUUUGGAUUGCCGCCAGGAGGAUGAAGAAUAGAAAUACAAAACUUCCCGUCUAAAUAAACUGCAUAUCAUGUUUAACUUCCAAAUAAAUGCACUAAAAAAUAUAGAACAUUGAUGUAGGUACCAAAGCAUUCUUAUAGCAUUAGGAUGCAACAUCUCCGAGGUAAAUCUCACUGUUGGAAGACUGUUCGCGUAAUUUUGGGGAAAGCUCAUAAUAGCAUUGAAGAAACCACCCUCACUACAUUUGAGAUUUUAAAACAAUACAGAUUAGAAGAUAAAUUAUAAAGCAUCUUUCAAACCAUAGAACUAUUGUAACUAAAUAAGUAGAAUUAUCUAAACUUCAAUAUAAAACAAUCUAAUCAUUCUGCCACAUAUGCAACAAGAUGAAAAGUCAACAUGACUGUCGCUUCUUUUGUAAUAUGCUUCUCUCAAGUUAUUAUAAGGGAAGAGAUAGCAUUCCAUUUAAUAAGUCUCUCUCUCUCUCUCUCUCUCUCUCAGUAAUCCAAAACAUGGAUUAACUACUGAACUUACAAAUGGAUUAACACCCCGACCCCAAAAAUAAGGCUUCCCUCAGCAUAGCUGCAUGAAAACCUAAAAUUGGAUCUGUAAUAUGCUUGAAGACUCCUUGUUAUGGCUCGUGAAAUUAAGUCGAACCACUAAAAAUGAGAAAUCCUAACUUCACCAAGAUAAUACAUUUUGGAGUGGAUUCAAGAAGGUAAAACAUAAUCAGAUGUUCGUAUUAGUUCAUGUGUUAUUUCAUUUAUAGAAACAGCAACUGUGUUGAUUAAUCAUGGUACAAUAUGACAGGUUAUUUACUCACCUCUUGUACAAACCAUUGAAGAAGUUUACAUUCAGCUACACCUUUACCAAUUUUCACUAAAGGCAAAUCAACAAUCCCAUUGACCAGAAGAUCAGCCAUAGCUUGAGUAGUAAAGCGAUGCCCUUUAAUCCCAAAUCAUUCCACCAUAAAGAAUAAAGAAGAAAACAAUUAAAGCAACAAAAAUUGACAUAACAAACACCUAUGUUAAUUCCAUAUACAGUAUUAAAUAUCUCAAUUUGCUAAUCUUUUACUUGCAUACAAACAAGAAAUACAAAGAAAUCAUGUGAAAAUUUGGACAAAACAAACUUACAUAAUCGAAUUUGUUAUCACUAUUCAAUUGAAAAAAUGUCACUGGGAGAGUAAAAAAAUAAACCUAAUCUUAACAGAGAGAAAUGCAAAUUGAACCGACAUGACAAAACUAUAAUGAAAAUAUUUAUACUGCUCUUUCUUCUUUGUCCUUCUUUUCCUCACCAAAUCCAAAACAAGAACAAAUAAAGAAAUCCCCUGAUUAAGAGUAUUCGAUUUCCCCCUAACACAUCAUGACUAAAUAUAAGUAUAAAGUGUUGAAAUCAAGUCACUGACUAAAACAUAAUAGCGAACAAAUAGAUCCAGAAAAUUAGUCCAAAUCCUAAAAAAGAGAAGGUGUGAAAAAUAGUGCGUGGAGAAACCUAGAAUCAUAAAGAGCAGUGAGAAAGAAAUUGAGCUGACUCGUGUAACUAAUGUAUGAGUAACGAUUGGCAUCAAAAGUGAUGAUAGCUCGAGGUGCGAAGACACGAUUGAGGCACGAGAACGCAGCGUAAAGUGCGAGGAUUAUGGGUUGUGGCUUCUGGGUUCAUAAGAGGCGCGAAGGUUCUUGGGUAAGUUUAACUUUUCGCAACGUUUACUAAAAGUUGCCAAUAGUUUAAUAUUCUGCAACAUUUAAUAAACAUUGCAAAAAUAGUAACUUUUCGCAAUACUUAAUAAACAUUUCAAAAAGUCGGCCUAUUUUAUAUUGAAAACAUUUACCAAAUGUUGCCAAAAAUUUAACAUUCUGCAACGUCUAAUAAACGUUGCAAAAAAGAGUAACUUUCGGCAACACUCAAUAAACAUUGCAAAAAGACGACAUUAGCAACAUAUAUUUAAAAAAUAUUGUCAAAUAUCAAUUAUAUAUACCAAUGGCAACAUUCACUUGUUAGAAUGUUGUGAUGGGCACUUUUAGCAACAUUAGUGUAGGAAUUGAAGUCUCAAAAGUGAAGAUAAUUUUCCACGCUUUACAUUAUAUUGAUAAAGCAGAAGAGUGCAUCUUGUAUUUCCUUUGUGUACUCUACAGCAUGUAGUGAUGUCAUACAAGCCGAUCGACUUGUCGACUUAGCUGCUCGGCUCAUAAAAAAUCGGCUAAUGGCCAAGAUAGCCGAACCUACUUAGCUCUUGAGGCGAGCUCAUGAGCUUGCCCAUGUGCUCAUGGACUCGUGUCUAGCCACUACAGUGACCAAAACGGUCAUUUUUUGUCACUGUAUAUAAGUUCAGUGAUCGUUUGCAUACAGACACUAAACUUAUAAAAAUGGCCUUUUGGCCACUUUAUUUUUUUUUCUUCGUUUUUUUUCACUCUAUAAAUAUUUCAAUCCAUUUUCAAAUUUUUUUUUACACACCAACAAAAAUUUUCACUCUCCUCCACAUUCUACAAUCUAUUACAUUCAUUUCUACCUUCAAUUUCAAUUAUUCAACCAUUCAAUAUCAAUUAUCACACUAAAAAUUUACAAUUACAACCUUAUACAUAAACUUUCUUUGAAUUCUUGAUUUAUUUCCUUACCCUUUAUUUACUUAUUUAGUUACCAUACAGUCUAUACUAUAACAAUUACAAUACAUAUUUCACAAUUCAAAAAUGGAUCCACACUCAUUUGUUGAGAGCCGAAUCACUUAUGAUACUGCAAUGUUAAUUUCAAAGUGAAUUUGCCGAUCUCAACGAAGUACCCAUUUCCAAAAAUAUUCCAAAUUUGGAUACUCACGGAAGUAGUAAACCAAUUAAUUUGGAUUACACUGAUGUUUUUGAAGCGGAACGUGAGAAAUUAGAUAUUCCCAAUGCAAGAGAGAAGCAAAAGAAAAAAAAGUAAAAUAUUGGGAUCACUUUAAAUUGAUCUCAACAACUCAUGCAGUCGAUAGAGUUGCGAGUCUAAAAUAGUAUGUAAAUAUUGUCAACAAUGAUUUGCAUGACAAACGAGCUUUGGUACCAUCCACCUUAGCUGUUACUAUAAAGUAUGUGUGGCCAAACAUAAGCUUCUUGGUGCCUCUCAAAUGCAACUACAACUUGGUAGUCCCACCGCCAAUUCUGCUUCUGUGAUACUUUGCACAUAAAUAUAUUCGAAGGAGAAAGCUAGAACGAGGAUGGUGAAGUUUGUUGCCUAUGCUGAGUAGCCUCUAGCAAUAGUGGACAAUCAAUAUUUCAUCUUCUAUGUAAAAGAAUAUCUUCGGCCGAUGUACACUGGGGUAAGUAAAAAACUCUUCGUUUCGAUACAAAUACAAAUACAAAAAAAAAAAAAAAAGUUGAUUAUCGAUUUAUAAAAAUAUGGAGGGUUAUAUCUUUAACUUUGGAUUUAUGGGAAUGGAUUAUUAAAAAAUGUUAUAUAACUGCAACUAUACACUAAACAUAGACCAACUUUGGUAAAAAAAAAAAAAAAAAAAAAAAAAAAAAAAAGUUGAUUAUCGAUUUAUAAAAAUAUGGAGGGUUAUAUCUUUAACUUUGGAUUUAUGGGAAUGGAUUAUUAAAAAAUGUUAUAUAACUGCAACUAUACACUAAACAUAGACCAACUUUGGUGUAUGCAUAAAAAUAUUGCUUUUAAAAUUAUUGAAUUUUCUCAUAACGCUAAUAAUAUAUUUAACAUUAUUAUGAGCAUUAUUAGAGAAUAUCAUUAAGAGAAUAAAAUUCAAUCUUUUAAAUUUGAAAACACUUGUGUUAAUAAGCCAGUUGUCGAUAAAUUGUGUAGAGUACUGCAACCCAAUUUCGAUGGUUAUUUAUUUCAUACUCAUUGUGUGUGCCAUAUUUUUAAUUUAAUUAUGCAAGAUGAUUUGAAAUGUAUUAAUAAAGAAAUUCAAAGAAUUAUGUAUGCACUAAUAAACUUCACAAUUUCACUAGUAGAAAAAUAAGUAUUUGAGGAAUUUUGUACCGAAUUCGAAAAUAUUUAUCAGUAACGUAGGACAUAGAUGAAAUUUAACUUACUUAUUAUUAGAAUCAUGCAAAGAAUUUGAACAUUUAGUAAUUGAAUUUUAUAAUAAUAAGCAUAAUAGGAACGAUGAUGACGCUAUUUUGAAUGAAUCUGAUUGGCUUUUAGCUUUUAAAAUUAAAAAAAAAUGGCAAGUUUUUAUGACUACAAAUAUUUUAUCUGAAAUAUACCAUCCCACUAGUGUAUAGUGUUUGAACGUCCUUAUAUAACUGCAAUAGCUUUUCGUAAAUACAAAAAAUGACACCGAUUUUAGUGAAUGAAUUUUCAAUACAAUUUAUCAGGUACUAAAUAUAUAUUUGAUCAAAUUUCAAAAGUUAUAAUUUUUAAUACAUCUAUCACUUAUAGAAUUUAGAACAAGUUUAUGUGAAAUGUAUGAAUUGUAUGUUCAAUGAAUUGGUGUAAAUAUUAAUCGCGUAUCAUCUGUACCUACUCUGUCAUCGAUAUUGAAGAAGACGACAUUGGAAUAUUAAAUUUAUUUGAAUGCAAUAAUACCUAUAGACACGAUGCAAUAUGUUCUUAUAGUAGUAGCAUGUCUAUCACAUGUAAUCAGAUAUCAGACAUAUGUCCAAAUGCAUUCUCUACUAAAUUAUUUGAUUAUUUUGAUCAUAAUAUGCUUAAUAAUAUAUCAAUUAAAAAAAUUCAGAAGAAGUAAUUGAAUUCUAGUGAAAGUACGAAAGAGAUGGCCAGUGAUUUAUACGAUUGCAAAAGAUUUACUAACACCUCCGGUUAGAACUGUAUCUUCAGAUUAACGCAAGUAAGAGGGUUCUGUCCGAAUUUAGCAGUCGACUGAAAAAAGACAUUUUGAAAGCAUUGAUGUACGUGAAGGAUCGACGAAAUGCUCAUUUUCGAUUGGAAGAUAAAUAUACCAAAUUGCAUGUCGUCAGAUAAGUAAUAUUUAAUUUAACCAUAUUAAUAAAAAAAUUUAUUCUAUAAUACUAUUUUUAAUUUUUCUAAAAAAUUAUACACGUAACAAGUUAUUUGUAUACAAUCUUUAACUUUGCCUACUCAAAAUUUAAAUAACAUGUCCCAAGUCCAAAUAAAGGAGGAGGCUUUAUCUAUUAAAAAAAAAAAGGGACGAGCUUGGCCCUCGAGUAACGAGCCGAGCUCUUGGAUAAUAGGCCCAGCUGAGCCAUUGCCACGUCUAGCAGCAUGCAAAUGGCUUACAAUGUUUGUAACUUCAGCCUACAAAGUUUUUGCAUGAUUUGUGUUGCUGUGGUUGCUAAGGAAGUUGCUUUGCAUCUUCUAGCACUUAAGGCAUGAAACAAAACGAAGUAAAGAAAAAAGAUUAAUAUAGUUGACUCCAAAUUUAUUGAGAGUAAGACUAAUUCAUUGUCUAUCAUUAUUGCAACAUGACAGCAGCUCAUGAAUGGAUAGAGUCCAUGAAAAUAUUUCAAAGUGUCGUAUGCCCCUCAAUGCAUUUUUGAUACAUGGGUACAUUAUCGUUUCUUAACAAAUUGUAAGACAUCAACACUUUUUUUUGACACAUUACAAUUCGACUUCUUUUCAUUUGCUAAGAAGAGUGGAGUGCCAUAAUGUCUUGAAUAUCAUAUGGGGAUGAUAGCAAAUUCAAGACAAUAGAUGUUAAUUGUGUUUUGGAACUCAAGUGUUAAGAAAUUCUUUUUCUCAGAAAAUAAUAGUCAAUUAUUUCUGAUUUCUAUGUGUGAAAGGGCAGUAGAUGAAUCGCUUUUGACGAGGCAAUGAAGUGCAAAAUAGUUAUGAACCUAUGAUAAAUUAACUAUCAGACUAUUUGGAAGGUUUUUGUUUGCCAUUUGUACAUUCCAAGAUUGACAUAAUUGUUGACAUUUAUCUUCUUGUAAAAAUAUGAUUGGAUGAAGAACUUUUUUCACUUAAAUUGCCAGAUGACACUUUGUAUCGUGACAAAGUGUAAAUCAUGGUGAACAUCAAGCAUGGUUGCUCCCCUUUUCUGCUUCAUGAAGAAUUUUUGGACAAAUUACUCCAGAGCUCUUAUAAUUAGAUAAAGGAUAAUUGCAGCAGAUGUCUCAAACCUUUAAAAUAGUGAUAGACUUUUCCCAAAUUUUUGAUUUGUUGUAACCGUCAUCUCAAACGUUUCAAAACGUUGCGGCUAAAGCCAUUUUAGAUGGUUUCCAUCCAUGUUAGUUAACAAAAAAUUUAAUUUUGACCACAUUUUUAAUAUUUUAAAAAGAGGUAAAAGAGUCACUUUCUGUUUAUAACAUUAAUUAAAUUAAUUAAUUAAAAAUUAAAAAUAAAAAACACACGUACACACUGUCAUAUUCUUCCCCUCCCGUCACCCAUCUCCACCUCAAACCCAAAGUCAACUUGACCAUUGUCAUCACCACCUCAACAUCCACCUUCAUCCCAACUUGGUCAACGUUCAAGUUAAAGCGACAAGGCGACCGAGGGAGAUAGAAUUGAAUGUGAGGGAGAGGAAGGAGAUGAAGAAGAAGGCGAUUUGAGCAAAAAUUUAAGCAAACUAGACUGCGAAGAAUGAACCGGGUUUAAAAUUGACGGAAUCGAGGAUAUAGGCUAUCAUGAGGUUGAUGGUGAAAAUGUCAACAAUCGGAGUUCCACCAAGUUUUAGGAGGAAGAAGUGUUGGAUAUUGGUUAAAUAAAUUGAGAAUUGAAAAUCGAUUAAAGUUCGUAUCGAAUUCGGCCAAAUACUCAAAAGCUCGACUCAAUCCGUUUAGGCAAAAUUGUUUGCCACUUCGCCGCUUCGGGGCGCACAAACGGGGAUCGACCUGCCCGGUCAGGUCGCGAAGGUCGAGGGGGCAGCGGCCCUCGUGGGGGGUCGGGGGCAACGCCCCCGAAAGAGAAUUUUGAUUUCUCUGCAUGUAUUGAAGGGUAUAUUUGGCAUUUCGAAAACCAAUAUCGGAUGAAUGAGAAAUUACGAAAAAGACCUCAACCAUUAGUGAAUAGACACCUUUUCAUAAAGGUGCAUUGUUUGGAAAGGGUGCAUGGUUUGGCCUCAACCAUUUCGUCCACACCCCUUCAUGGUCUAUAAAUAGGACCCUCUGGGUGUCCUAUUCCUCACAGUUUGAUAUGCAAAAACGUCUCUCAUCCUCUCUUCUAUCCAAAAUCAAAAUCAUUUCAUUUAUUUUGAUUAUCUUUCAUUUCAUCUGUGGAGUACAUAAGCCUACAUUUGGUUCGUUGUACUUGUGUUUUGGAGUGCUACAAACACAAGUGUAGCCGUUGUAUCUUGGGAGUCGAUUGCCGAAAUCCGUAGGCACCGUUGCGGGGCAAAUUCGACUUAAGAACAAAGAGUCCAACUCUUGCCUCGGCUUUGUCACCAUCAUUAUACUUAUUUCGGCGUCACUAUUCACAAAAUUCUUCCAACAAGAAGGCAGAUGGUAUCAGGGCAAUAAUGAUUCUGGCAUUGUAAAAGAAGGAAGACAGCUAGUAUUCGAAAUUUUUAGCGAAAGAGCUGUAACUGUUGUUGGUGGUGCCAUGAUAGAUGGAGUAGAAAGAGCUAAGGCUAGGGUUAGAGUUUUGGUCGCCAUUGUAGGAGUUAGUGGGAAAAGAAGGGCUCCCAAGGAGGAAAAUAUGUGUGGACCGAAGGCCCUUGGCUAGAGCUUUGUCGAAAACAUCUUCACCGAGGACCUUGGCUGCUGCGUCGGCAACUGAGGAGGUGGCGGAAAUAAGUGUUUGGAAAGGAUAGAUUGGGACUGGAUUAGGUAGGUUGGGGAAGAAGAUACAGGUUUUCCCCCCUUUUUUUUAAUUUAAUUAAUUACUUAUGUAAUUAUUUAAUUUAGUAAGUUAAAAGUUACUAUUUUGUCCUUUAUAAGAAUAUUAAAAAUAUGGUCAAAUUCAAGUUUUUAAUCAACUAACAUAAUUAUGGAUGGAAACCAUCAAAAAUGGCUUCCGUCGCAACGUUUCGAAAGAUUUUGAGUAACGGUUGCAAUAAAUCAAAAAUUUUAAAAAUGUCUACUAAUAUUUUAAAGGUUUGGAACCUCUGUUGCGAUUAUAGAAUAAAGUACUUAAAAAAAUUUAUUCAAUAAGUCGAAAAUAUAUAUAUAUUUUUUUUUAAUUUUAAAAGUAGCUUUUGACGGGUAUGUCACAUGAGCCCUAUAGCCUAGAAUGUCUAGUGAUUCAGUAAGUGUAUAUUUGAGUAGACGUGGCAGCGGAGUUAGCAUGAACGGAUAAAGGGACUUGGGUAGGUGGGAUAAAAAUGUGCGAAUGGGUGGGAUUAAAAUAUUUACAUUUAUCAUUCUAUUUUAUUUACUAAUUAUUUAUUUUUAAAUUUGAUUUAAAUUAAAAGACACUAAAAUAAAAUAAAGGUAUUCGAAAUGUUCGAAAACUUUGGGACGGCAUCAUGUUCUCCUUCCCUGCCCUGUUUGUUAUAUUUAAGGUAGGAAUAUCUAUUUUUAAGAGAGAGAAGUUUUCUUAUAUUCGCUUAGCAGGUGCUUUUUUAGGGGUUGUUUGAGCUUCUUUUAAAAUAAUAUUAUGAUGAAGAAUGUGUGAUUAAAAAAUAAAUUUUUUUUAGAUAUGCGUGUAAUAUUAUUUUAUUAAAAAUGUGUAAUUGAAAUUGUAUCAAAUCACUAUUGAAUAAUGCAUUUUGAUGAAAAAUAGGUCUCAAACAAGGGCUUAUUGAGUUUCUUAUUGCUCUUUAAUAGAGAUUAUUUCAAACAUUUUAAUCACCUCUUACAAGUUUUAUAGAUGUUUUCUCAAUUAAGAUUUUGAUGAAUUUUUAUAUAUUCUAACGAAUUUGGUGGAUUUGAAAAGAUUUCUAUAAAUUCCAUAAAAUUUUCAUUAAAUAUGAUGAAAUUUCAAAAGUAUCUGAUUAUAUGUAUUUUUAAUAUUGAAAUCCAUCCAAAUCUAGGGAUGGCAAAAGGAACCUGUUUAAAGCAGGGCGGGGCGUUUGCCCCAUUUACUUACCAGUUUAAUUUUAAUUUUUUUAGUUUUUUAUAAUUCAUUUUAUUGCCUCAAUUCAUUAAAGUUAAAUAAUAAUAUAGUUAUUAAAAUUUUUAAUUAAUUAAUUUAUCUUUAAAAGUUAAAUUAUUCGAAUAUAUAUGGUAAACUAAGGUCUUUAUUGCUUAUUAUAUUCCUUGAAUAAUUUUAAUUGCUAUUCUUUUAUUAGAAUUAAUGAAAUUUCGUAAAAUUUUUCAUUUAAAGUAAUGAAUUCUUAGAUAAAAAAUAAUAAUAAUAAGCGGGAAGGGAGGGACAGCCCCUGUUACCCGUCCCCGACCCGAUUGCUCGAUUAAGCGGGUAAUAUCCAUCCCAUUCUCGAUGGGCCCCGAGAGUAUUGGGUAUAGCGAUUUUUUUAACCAUCCCUAUCUAAUUUUUUUAAAAUCCAUCUACUAAUGAAAUCUCUAUAAAUCCACUAGUUACACAUAAAUUUUAAAAGAUUUCAUUGAAUUUCGUUAAAAUAUAAUUUGGGAACACCUAAAUUUUAAUAAAUUUUAUUAAAAUACAUUAAAAUUUCAAUUUAAGAACACCUAAAUUUAAAAUAAUUUUUAAAAUCCAUCAUAAUUAAUUUCAAUAGAGGGCACUCCCUUUGAUAGCCAAGCACUUGAGACUCUCACUAAAGUCGAAACUCGCAAAUUGUUAAUUUCAAUUGAAUUAAUAAAAUGUAGCCAUAUAUGUCUAUAACAUUGCAUGAUCAACUAGAAGUAAAUCUAGACGGUUCAAAUUCUUUUUUGAUAUCAAAAUAAAAUUAACGAUGUUGACAAAUGAGUAAAGCACAAGAACUGGCUUAUAAUACUAGUGUUUACACCCUGUUGCAUAAUCAAUACACGACUAGAGCUCUGCAAGAACAUCAUGUACGUCUGAGCUCAAACUCAGACUCGGACUUGAUACACGCUUCAAAUCGUUCUUUGCGUAUAGGCUCAAUUGGUCUUUAUAUAGAGUAUAAAUGUCUAAAAAGUUUGUUAUAUAUAUAUAUAUAUAUAUAUAUAUAGUUUUAAGUUUGAUACUUAAAAAUUGACAUGGAGCAGGAACAUUUAGACAUAUUAAUCAAAUCUUCUUCCAGAUCCUGUGGUACCAUCUAUUAUGCUAAUCUUCUACAUGUGUUAUAUAUAUAUAUAUAUAGUUAUAUAUAUAUAUAUGUUUUCAAGUGAAAGAAUUGGUCUUUUAUCCUCCGGUAAUCCUGCAAAAAGAGGCUAGGGCUCCCUCCCUCGUUUUACCUCUGGCGUGAGAGUCAGUAAUCGUUUUUAGAUAAAGGAUGUUAAAGAAAUGCAGUAGUGACAGAGGAAAGGAUUUUUUCUGGAAACAGAAAGACCCCCCUUUACCUGACAGCUCAUGGGAUAUUUAUAGGUGUCGGCAUCACGUAACCGCUGGGCAGUUGCCAUCCACGUGUCCUCAUCAGUCUAGCAUCACGUAACCACUGAACAGUUGUCAUCCACGCGUCCUUGUGAGAUUUGCCCGCUCUUCAGGCGGUUUUUCCAUUUAUUCGGUUGCCCGUGUAGUGGGUUUAAUAAUAACCGUUCGGAUGGUUGUUGACCGAUUCCAAUGUUGUUCGAAUAGACGACGGUCGCUCCACGCGUGGCAAGGGUCGGAUUAGCAUAGUAAUUAGCGCUCUAAUAUGACGAGCGUUACCUGACAUGCCAAAACUGUCUGUACCUUAUGAGCAAGCGAAGGUAGCGUCGGCCGAGUUGACACUACGAUAGUUGUCAUUUCAUGAUAGGCUACCUGACAUAGCGGGGGUCGCCCGACAUAGCAGGGGUCAUCCUCACUCUACCAGCCGUCCUAAUCAAUUAUUUGAACCACAUAAUAUCACUAACCCCAUAUCUUUUGUCGAUUUUUAUCGCCAAGUGUUGGAUGAUGUCACAAUUUAUUUUAUUAUUAUUAUCACUUGACAGUUCGUGUGAAAGAACAAGUACUUGCGUACAUGGAACGCUUGGAUUGUCAGUUUUCGAAAAAUUGACAUAACUUUUGUAUACGGUGUCUGUUUUGGGCCUAUAACCACAUUUCGGAAAGCUUGCGACAAUUCGGAAUGAACUCACUGCUUUGCAGUCGCCGUGACAUAUAAUGGAUUUUGUCCAUUUGAAAUCGUGGGUCAAAAAGGCAUUUGAAGUUUUUUUUUUCGCAUUGGAUCGGAUUUAUAGAGAGACCUACAAUUUAAAGAAGAUCCAUAAGUAGGUUGACUCGCGGGCUCGGGCCUUUUGUGAACCCUAAAAUUUUCCUAUAUAAAGGGAACGUAAUCCCUUUUUUCUUUCACAUCUUCUUCUUUCCUGUAAAUCCCAAGUGUUUUUUCUCUCUGUAUUUGUCUCCAAGGUAAUCUCCCUAUUCCCCUCUUAUUUUUCUUAAGAGUAUAAUAGCUCGUCAUUAUUUCUAGAUGUACAAGGUUGUUCUAUCAUCUUCAUCGUCUUCUAGUCCAUAACGUUCCAAUUCAUUCUCUCGGAGACCCUUCAAUUUUCAUUCAAUGUCUUCCUAAAAAUCACAUUAGUUUUUUCAAGUCUCCAACCUUCAACUUUGAGAUCAGUCAGGAUCCUACGGGUAGAGUUGUAGUCCUUGAUACUCCAAAGGGGCCUAGCUCCUACAAUUGUGCAACCAAGUUAGAUCAAUUGCUUGAUAGGUAUACACGCAUUGAUGAUUAUAUAUAUAGAUCCCCCAAGGUCAGACCCUCGUGAAAUUGCCAUGUAUAAAGAUUGUUUCGAUGGAGGUUUGAGGUUUCCACUUCAUCCACUCUUUGUCUCAAUUUUUAACGAAUUUCAUCUUACACCGAGUCAAAUAAACCCGAAUGCAUGGAGAAAAGCAUUAUACUUUUUGUACCUGUGCCUUUGUGAAAAGAUUGUGCCCUCCAUUGAAUUGUUUAGGUGCGCGUUCAAGUUGCACAACUUACUCCAAUACAACACGUUCAUGUAUUUUACUAUCAGGGUCCCUCUUUGCAUUCCUAAGUAUAGAAAUUCCAACAGCGGGUGGAAAUCUCGAUUAUUCUUCGUUCGGCCUUUUGAAGGUCGAUUUCCAUUCAACACUCAUUGGAGAAUCCUUCAAAUCCCUCUUUUCAAUAGUCAUGUCGAGCCUACUCCUCUUUUGAGUUCUCAAGUCCAACAACUGACCCGUAUACCUCCUCUUGCACCCCUCCUCUCUCAAGUCUUAACAGUAAGGAAGAUGUUAACAGUGGGGAUUGGUCGACCUGUUGGUAGGUCCUUAUUUAUGGCUUUUGAUUUUCAUUCUGCAUUUUUCUUUGGUGGUUGGCCAUUGCGUCUGAUUUUCUUGGUUGUAUGUACGCAGGUAUGGACUUCGACUUUGUAGGAGUUUUGAGCUCUCUACUUGAGCCCGAGCCUGAGAGCGACAAGGGGUUGUCUCAUGCCCCGUCCAAGAAGAGAAAAGUCACUAACAAGAAAAAAGGAAAGAACACUAACAGGGGGUCUUUUCCACCAUUGGAGGAACCCGUGAGAGGAGUUCCAUCGUAUGAUCCAUAAGAGGAAAACUCGAGUCUUGACGAGUUCCAAUUUGAGAAUGAUGGUUCUCCACUUCCAGAUCUUAGAUUUCCUCCUACUCAAGGCGUACGCGAAGUUGAUAUGGUCGAUACUUUUAUUAUGUCUGAUCAUGCCAAAGCUUUGUCUAGGCGCCGAAAGGACGAUGUAGAGAGGGUCCUGGCGAUUUAUAACAGAAGGGUACCCCCUCUUUCUAUUUCUUCAUUUUUAUUCACAUUCAUACUUUGUGUAAUAAUCCUACCUUGUUUUUACUAUCUGCUUGAUAGGUCUUGACAAUGCAAACUUUCCUCGUCGAAGUGAGUCGCCUUCUAACUGCUGAAUUAAAAGCUCUCGAGGAGGAGAAAGACAAGGAGGGGGGCGAUCUGAAAAAGUCUCUUGAUGUUGUGGAGGCUCAGAAGAAUGAGAUGGAAUUUCACAUCAAUGAACAAAAGAGAGAGAAAUUGACAACCUGCACUCUUCCUUGGCCCGUGCUCAAAUCAAUGCAGUAGACCGUUAUAAGGUCUCUUCAGAGUAUGCUAAGGACAUGAACGAUUAUGGGGCACAAACAAUAGCAGCCUCUAUUGCCCUUACCAAAGAGUGGGUGACGAUCGAGCAUCCAUCCAUUGAUCCCACUAACUACGAUCGCUUUCUGUUGGAUUUGUAGAGAUAAAGAAAAAGCAACUAAGCAAACUAAAAUAUUUGGGCAUACUAGCACGCCACGAAGAGGAAGUGGAGGAAGUUUGAACACAGAAUGACUUAGCUUUUUAUUACUUGUUUAAGCUUUUCGUUGUUAUCCCUUUUCGCCAUUUGACUAUUCAAUAGUUUUUUUUCUUGGUCCGGGAUGUAGACAAGAUAUUAUGCUUCGCAUUUAUUAUGAUUAGUACUUCGUGCGCUCAGUACUGUUAUUGCUAUUACUAAUUUUCAUCAUUUUGAUAUUGCUAGUUUUUGAAAUUGUCAUUUAUUCCCUCUUUUUUUGUUUUUUGAGCAAUUUUGAAGCACAGAGUGCUAGUUACAGCUAUCUCGUACGUUAGCAGAUUUUAGCUUAUGGGCUCAUUGCUAGACCGUAUAGCGAUUUUGAGCUAAUCGAUCUUUCAUUCGGUUGCUCACCGCUACCCUUUAAAUGCCUUAGGAUUGUAGAGCAUGAGAUUUGAUAAUUUCACCCUUUACUAGUCUUUCUUAGUUUUAAGAUCCCACUAUCAAACCAUAAAGUCAUUUCGAGCUAACCCCUUUUGCUGGUUUUACUGCUCACCGACAUUCGUUGAAUGUCUUUGUAGGGCACGAGAUCUGGUGAUCUUGCUUUCCAUCCAUUUGUUUGAUUUUGGAAGCUUAAGCGAUUUUGAGCCAACCAAUUUUGUUGGUUUUACUGCUCACCACUAUUCGUCGAACGCCUUCUUAAGGCAUGUGAUCUAGCCUCUUAACCACUUAUGUAAUCUGGGAAGAUUACCAUCAGACCUUGGAGCGAUUUCGAGCUAACCAUUUUCGCUGGUCUUAUUGCUCACCGCUAUCGUCGAACACCUCAGAAACUUUAAGAAGUGUUCUGCAACUCAUUCUUCAAUCAAAUGUAUACCCAACUCCUGUAUAGAUACAUGAAUUUACCUAGAUUUGGGGACUCAGUAGGCGCACUGGGAUGUCCCAACUAGGCUGGCCCUUCCUUAGCGCCCUCAUUAUUUGCCUCCAUCUGGGCCUUUCAUUAGAUAAUUUGAGCGAUUACAACAUGAUAUGCCUGCAGUAGGCGAUGCAUUAUGGACACUAAAAGAAAAUUCUAGUGACUGUAUUUACAAGAGACAUUUGCUAAUACAUUAUGGAAGCUAGUAAACCAUCUUAACGGCUAUAUUUACAAAAGAUCUGGUAUGAACUCCCUACUCAUCAAACUAUUGAUGGUACUUCUUGAGAUGCUCGGUGUUCCAUGACCUGCCGAUUGGAUUCUGAUGUGAACCCCGUAGCAAUGGAAACUACGAAACCCACAACGAGAUUGAUGCGGAACCCAAGAACGCCAAUACUAACCCGGUUUUGAAUCUUGAACACCAAGAAUUGAACCAAGAAACCCUAUUUUAGUAAAGAACCUAAAACCCCUUGAUUACAAUUAAAAGAACCCACAAUCCGAUUGUUUAGAACGCCACAAGAAAUUGAAUCUUGAUAAGUUCCAAGAUUGUUCAAGAAGAACAAGAAAUUGAAAGAACAAUUCUCUCUCUACAAUAUUAAGCAAAAAAUUCAAAAGUUCUUACAAUGAAAAAUAUUCUCCUAUUUAUACUAAUGAAUAAAAAAGUCCAAAACCAUCAAAUUAUGGUAAUAAUUUGAUUUCAUAAGAAUUCUAUCGAAACUAGGAAAUUCGGCCAAAAUUAGAAAAUUCACCAAUUUUUUUGGCUUGUGUGGCCGCAUGGUGUAUUUCCAUGCGGUCGCAUGAUUCAACAAGAAUUGGUGUUAUGUUUUUCGGUAUGCAUGUGUGCGACUGCAUGGUGUUUUGCCUGUGCGGCCGCACAGACUUAUUUUUAGCCUCCGGUUUCAUCGCUUGAUAACAAAUUAAUCCAAAUUGAUUCGGCCUUCGACCUGAACAUGAAAGUUGUUCCAUUUUGAAUCCCGAACAUGGUUCCAUCAAUGGUUUCUUGAACGAGCGAUCCCAUCGCUUGUUUCACUUGCUUUGCCCUUGAUCGCGUCAUUAGUCUAUCAUCGACUAUCAACGGGUCUAGUCUCGCACUUGCCUUCGUCGGGCUCGACUCCUGGAUCAUAUCAUCCCCUCUCUCUUCAAAAGGAUUCGUCCUCAAAUCUGAACCUGUAUCAAACAGAUAGAGGUCAGAUACAUUAAAAGUAGCCGAAACAUUGUAUUCACCUGGUAAAUCCACUUUGUAUGCAUUGUCAUUGAUCCUCUCGAUGAUUUGAAACGGUCCAUCGCCUCGUGGUUGCAAUUUUGACUUCCUCUGUUAUGGAAAACGCUCUUUUCUGAAAUGCACCCAGACCCAAUCUCUAGGCUCAAAUUUAACACGUCUUCUUCCUUUAUUUGCUUUUGAUGCAAUUAGCUUUCCUUUCUCUUCGAUCUGCAUCCUGACCUUUUCAUGGAGUGUUUUCACCAUCUCGACUUUUCGUUUCCCAUCCAAGCUACCUCGUUCAUGCACAGGCAAAGGCAUUAAAUCCAUAGGUGUUAGUGGAUUAAAAUCAUAAACAAUUUCAAAAGGAAAAAAUGAAGUAGUAGAAGGUGUAGCUCGAUUAUAUGUAAAUUCUAUAAACGGUAAACACUCUUCCCAUGAUUUCAGAUUUUUAUUGAUCACUGUCCUAAGUAGUUGAGUCAUAGUUUGAUUAACUACCUUAGUUUGCCCAUCUGUUUGUGAAUGACAAGUUGUAAAAAAUAAUAACUUAGUUCCUAACUUACUCCACAGAACACACCAAAAAUGACUCAAAAACUUCACGUCCGUAUCAGACACUAUACUUUUAGGUACUCCAUGUAAACAUACUAUUUCCUUAAAGAAUAAGUCUGCAAUAUUAGUAGCAUCGUCAGUUUUAUGACAUGGUAUGAAGUGCGCCAUCUUACUAAACCUAUCGACCACUACAAAUAUUGAAUCCCGACCCCUUUUUGUCCUAGGCAAUUCUAACACAAAGUUCAUAGAUAUGUCUACCCAAAGUUCACUAGGUACAGGCAAAGGAGUAUACAAACCAUGGGGUUGAACCUUAGACUUAGCCUUUUUACAAGUUAUGCACUUUCCACAUAUUUGUUCUACGUCAUGUCGCAUUUUAGGCCAAUAAAAAUGUUCCCCUAACAUGUCUAAAGUCUUUUGAACCCCGAAGUGUCCUAUUAAACCACCCCCAUGUACUUCCCUUACCAAUAAUUCAUGCAAAGAACAAUUAGGAAUGCACAACUUAUUUUUCCUAAACAAAUAUCCUUCAUGCCUAUAGAAUUUAUCAAAUGCACCUUUGUCACAUGAAGCAUAAAUCCUAGAAAAAUCACAAUCAGAUUCAUACAUGUCCUUAAUAUGCUCGAAACCAAGUAAUUUAGUACUUAAUGAAUUUAAAAACACGUACCUUCGAGACAAUGCAUCAGCAACUAUAUUUUCGUUACCUUGUUUGUACUUGAUGACGUAGGGAAAUGUCUCGAUAAACUCUACCCAUCUCGCAUGUCUUUUGUUCAACUUACCUUGACCUUGCAAAUACUUUAAAGAUUCAUGAUCGGUGUGUAUCACGAAUUCCUUUGGCCAUAAGUAGUGCUGCCAAGUCUCCAAUACUCGAACAAGUGAAUACAGCUCCUUGUCAUAUGUCAGAUAAUUCAAUGCUGCCCCACUCAACUUUUCGCUAAAGUAAGCAAUAGGUCUCCUUUCCUGCAUUAACACUGCUCAUAUAUCUAUUCCUGAUGCAUCACACUCAAUUUUGAAUGUUUUAUCAAAAUUUGGUAAUGCCAAAACAGGUGCUUUACAUAGCUUAUCCUUAAUUGUGUUAAAUGCAAUUUCUUAAGCUUCUCCCCAAUGGAAACCUACACUCUUCUUUACUAUUUCAGUCAACGGUGUGGUGAUGGUGCUAAAAUCUCUUACAAAUCGCCUAUAAAAACUAGCCAAUCCAUGAAAACUCCUAACUUUAGUUAUAGUCUUAGGUGUUGGCCAUUCAUUUAUAGCUUUUAUCUUUUCUUCAUCGACUUCCACCCCGUUAGCACUAACCACAAAUCUUAGGAAAACAACUCUAUCCAUGCAGAAUGUGUACUUUUUGAAAUUAGCAUACAGUUGUUCCUUUCGCAACACAACAAGCACACAAUUUAAAUGUUCUAAUUGCUCAUCUAGGUUUUUGCUGUAGAUUAAGAUGUCAUCAAAAUAAACUACAACAAAUUUCCCAAUAAAAGCACGCAAAACAUGGUUCAUUAAACGCAUAAAAGUGCUCAGUGCAUUAGUGAGUCCAAACGGCAUAACUAACCAUUCAUACAAUCCAUACUUAGUCUUAAACGUUGUUUUCCACUCAUCACCCUCCCGCAUGCAAAUUUGAUGAUACGCACUCUUAAGAUCAAUCUUACUAAAAAUGCAAGCACCAUGCAACUCAUCAAGCAUAUCAUCUAGCCUAGGUAUUGGGUGACGAUACUUUACCGUGAUAUUGUUGAUAGCUCGGCAAUCCACGCACAUUCUCCAAGUCCCGUCCUUCUUAGACACCAGCAAAACAGGUACAACACAUGGACUCAUGCUCUCCCUGACAUAACCUUUGCUCAUCAACUCCUCCACUUGCUUUUGAAGCUCCGUCGUCUCCUCGGGAUUGCUUCGGUAAGCUGGUUGAUUCGGUAUGACAGCUCUGGGUACAAAGUCAAUCUGGUGCUCGAUGUCUCUGAUCGGUGGCAAUCCACUUGGCAUCUCCUCAGGAAAUACAUCGUCGAACUCCUGCAAUAAAGACUUAACCAAACUAGGGAGGGAUGUGUUAGAAUCUUCGAAAUUGAGGAGGGACUCCUUGUACAAUAACAAUAUCAUUUGCCUAUUAUCGCUCAUAGCCUUUUUCAACUCACUCUCUUUUGCAUAGAAGUUGACCUUUGGCUUUUCUCUCCGCUCAGCUGACUCUUUUUCUCUCCUCUCAACUGACUCUUUUUCUCUCCGCUCAUGUGGCUUCUCUCUCUUUUCUCCACUCUCAGCCACCUCACUAUUUUCUCUCUUAUUGAUGGUUUCACUAUUGCCUCUCCUUUUUCCUGACUCUCUUAUUCUCUAGUCUUCCUCACUUUUCAGCUUGAUUUGAUCUCCAUACACUUGUGCCGGUGUUAAUGGCGCAAGAGUACUAGUCUUCCCAUCAUUGACAAAGCUAUAACGAUUCCUAUAUCCAUCAUGUGUGACCCUUCUAUCAUAUUGCCAUGGUCUUCCUAACAAGAUAUGACCCACAUGCAUAGGCACCACAUCACAUACUAUUUUGUCACUAUAACUCCCAAUUGAGAAAUUAAUUAAAACUCUUUUAUUCACCCUAACUUCCCCACUUUCAUUCAACCAUUGCAACUUAUAAGGCCUAGGGUGUCUUAACAAUGCUCGCCCUAAUUUCUCAACUAAAGUUGUACUAGUUAUAUUCGUGCAACUCCCACCAUCAAUAAUCAUACUACAUACCUUAUCGUUGAUGUAACAACGUGUGUGGAAUAUAUUUUCUCGUUGCUGCUCCGAAUCAUCCACUUUGACUUGGGUGUUAAGAGCUCUCCUUGACACCAACGAUUCCCCAACAGCAAACUCCAAUUUUUCUUCUUCUUCAACGUCCUCCAAUGCAGGCAUGUCCUCAAGCUCUCUUUCAUUUUCACUCACUACCUCUCCAUUAUCCAACAACACCAUUACCCAUUUAUUUGGACAUUGAGAAGUAAUGUGCCCUGACCCCAAGCAUCUGAAAUACUUGAUAUCUCGAUUCCUUGAUGAUUAUGAAUCUGUUUUGGGUGCUGUUUUGCUAGCACUUUCUUCUUUCCCUUUCUACCACUCAUUCCUACCUUUAGGUACAGCUUUAUCACUUUUGUUGUUGUUGUUCCACCCUGGCUUCCAAGAUGGAUUAACACUCGAAGUUCCUAAUGGCUGCCUAGCUGCCCCUUUCCUCUUCAGCUGUCUCUCUACCUUCAUAGCCACAUGCAACAUGUCUUCCAAUUCCACAUAAUGUUGCAACUCCACUACAUUGGCAAUUUCCCUAUUCAACCCAUUCAAGAAUCGUGUCAUGGUAGCCUCCCGAUCCUCUAUCACAUUGGCCCUAAUCAUGAGUAUUUCCAUAUCCUUAUGAUAGUCCUCUACACUUUUCGACUCUUGAUAUAGACCUUGCAGUUUUUGAUGGAUCUCUCGAUAAUAGUGGCUAGGAACAAACCUCUUUCUCAUCAAUGACUUCAAUUCCUCCCAAGUGCUGAUUGGUCUUCCCCCACUCCUACGUUGUGAAGUAAUCACUUGAUCCCACCAUGAAAUUGCAUAGUCACUGAACUCCAAAACUGCUAACUUCACCUUUUUCUCCUCUGAGUAGUUAUAACACUUGAAGAUCAUUUCAACAUUCCUUUCCCACUCUAAGUAUACCUUGGGAUCAUUCUUCCUUUGAAUGAAGGAACUGUCAUUUUUAUAUUUCCCAAAUUUCCAUCCAACUCCUCCCCGCGAUCAUUCCGACCCCGUCUAUUCAUCAUCCUUCCCAUCUCAACACCGUAAAAUUCAUCUUUACCCAUGUCACUCCCAUAUCCAUACUCCUCUCGCCUUUUCCUCCUAGGCUCCCAUCUAUCCGGUCCUCUAGCAUUGGAUACAUCCACUCGAUGCCCCCGACUAAGAUUAGCCACCGAUGUAUCUAAUCUAUUCAUCCAAGCCUCCUGCUUCUCCAACCUAUCUCUCGCAGCUCCAAACGCCCUCUCAAACCUCUGCACCAAAUCCUCCGAUGCAUUGCUAUUAUUGCCUUGUCGGCUUGAAUUUGAUUCUGCCCUUUCUGGCAUCCUAACACUAAAGAUUUUUAUUUUACUGCCUCACCAAAAAUCACUCGGAAACACACAAGAGCUUUUACCCUCUAUAAAGCUCAUCCCUCUGCCUUUUACCACUCAAUUCUUUCAACAAUUGCUUCGAGGAACAAUCAAUGAACUCAAUCAAUCAAUCAAUUCGUGUAGAAUUUCCCAAACCGGAUGUGACUCAAUAAUUGUAACAAAGGACUCAAAGAAAACUUUUAAAACUUGACUUGAAUUGAAGGAAUGGAAUGAUUCAAUGUGUCCAAGUAAUUUAGAAACGAUAUUGAAUAAUAAAAGUUGGUAUUUGACGGAUCAAUAAUAUUUAACAAUUUUAUUUUAUUUUUUUUACUGUAAGGAUGAACAGUAAAAAAAAUUUUAGAUCCGAAAAUCAAUAACAAAACCAACAAAGAAAAAGAAAACUGAUUUGAGCGAAAAUUGAGCCCAGUAAUGGAAUUUGAAGAUUUUUGAUGAAACUUUUGGAUCAAAUGAUCAAGAAAACCUUCUGGACACAAUAACACAAGAAAUUGAAAAAAAUUAGAAAACAAAGGAUAUAACCUGAUUAAAUUGGAGUCAAAGCUCUGAUACCAACUGAUGCGAACCCCGUAGCAAUGAAAACUACGAAACCCACAACGAGAUUGAUGCGGAACCCAAGAACGCCAAUACUAACCCGGUUUUGGAUCUUGAACCCCAAGAAUUGAACCAAGAAAACCUUCUGGACACAAUAACACAAGAAAUUGAAAAAAAUUAGAAAACAAAGGAUAUAACCUGAUUAAAUUGGAGUCAAAGCUCUGAUACCAACUGAUGCGAACCCCGUAGCAAUGAAAACUACGAAACCCACAACGAGAUUGAUGCGGAACCCAAGAACGCCAAUACUAACCCGGUUUUGGAUCUUGAACCCCAAGAAUUGAACCAAGAAACCCUAGAUUAGCGAAGAACCUAAAACCCCUUGAUUACAAUUAAAACAGCCCACAAUCCGAUUGUUUAGAACGCCACAAGAAAUUGAAUUUUGAUAAGUUCCAAGAUUGUUCAAGAAGAACAAGAAAUUGAAAGAACAAUUCUCUCUCUGUAAUAUUAAGCAAAAAAGUCAAAAGUUCUUACAAUGAAAAAUAUUCUCCUAUUUAUACUAAUGAAUAAAAAACGACCAAAACCAUCAAAUUAUAGUAAUAAUUUGAUUUCAUAAGAAUUCUAUCGAAACUAGGAAAUUCAGCCAAAAUUAGAAAAUUCACCAAUAUUUUUGGCUUGUGCGGCCGCAUGGUGUAUUUCCAUGCGGUCACAUGGUUCAACAAGAAUUGGUGUUGUGUUUUUCAGUAUGCAUGUGUGCGGCCGCAUGGUGUUUUGCCUGUGCGGCCGCACAAACUUGUUUUCAGCCUCCGAUUUCGUCGCUUGAUAACAAAUUGAUCCAAGUUGAUUCAGCCUUCGACCCGAACAUGAAAGUUGCUCCAUUUUGAGUCCGAACAUGGUUCCAUCAAUGGUUUCUUGAAGGAGCAAUCCCAUCACUUGUUUCACUUGCUUUGCCCUUGAUCGCGUCAUUGGUCCGCCAUCGACUAUCAAUGGGUAUCGUCUCGCACUUGCCUUCGUCGGGCUCGACUCCUGGAUCAUAUCAGAUUUUCUCUCAAGUCUUUUAGGCUGUAAACUCCUUUUCCAAGGUUGUAAAUCACCUCAUAUGAUCCUUCCCAGUUUGGCCCAAGCUUGGAUGGAGGGUGCCCUGUUGCUACUGCUUCCAUUAAUACAAAAUCUCUUGGCUGGAAAGUCCAUGGCUUACCCUUCUAUUAAAGUAUUCAGUAGCUUUUCGCUUGUAGGCUGCCAUCCUUACAGCUGUUUUCUCUCUCACUCCAUCGGUAGGUCGAGUUCUACACUGGUAGUUGCGAUGUCAAGAUGUUUGACUUUCAUCCUGCCGGUUUCAUUUAGAAUUUCUACGGGGACAAUGGCUUCCAUCCCAAAAGAGAGUUUGAAGGGUGUUUCUCCUGUAGAUUCUCACGGAAUGGUGUGAUAUGCCCACAACACAUUUGGCAAUUCAUCUGUCCAAAGCCCCUUUUCCUUUUUAAAUCUUAUCUUCAAAUCCCAUAAUAUCGCACGAUUGGUUACUUCCGUCUGCCCAUUGGAUUGGGGAUGAGCGACGAAAGUGAGUACGCGAUAACUUUCACAAAAAGCCUUGAAGAUGUGGUUGUCGAAUUGUCUGCCGUUGUUAGUUAUAAGAACUCUUGGUAUGCCAAACCUGCAUAUUAUAUUCUUCCAAGUGAAAACUCUGCACCUUAGCCAUUGUGAUGGUGGCUAAGGGCUCCAUCUCGACCCAUUUGGUGAAAUAGUCGAUGGCCACUAACAAGAACUUCCUUUGCCCCUUGGCUAUAGGUAGAGGCCCCAAGACGUCCAUUCCCGACUGGAAAAAAGGGCAUACCCCAAAAACGGCAAACUGUUGCUCCGCGGGAACAUGAAUCAAAUUUUCGUGACCCUGACAUGCAUCACACUUUCUCACGAACUCUUUGAAAUCGUGCUUCAUAGUUGGCCAAUAAUAUCCCUAUCUAAGGGCCUUGAAUGGAAGGACGACCGCCCCCUGAUGGUUACCGCAGAUCCCUGCAUAGAUUUCUAACAACACCUCAUGUGCUUCAGUUGGGCGCAAACAUUUUACGUAAGGCAUGGUGAAGCCUCGCUUGUAGAGAUGUUCAUCAAUUAUGGUGAAUGAAGCUGCUCGAAUUUUCAAUCUUUUGGCUUCGAGAACAUCCUCUGGUAAUUUAUCCUCCAUGAGAUAAUCAAUUAUCGGGUCUAUCCAACUUUUUUCAUAUUCCAUGUGUACUACGUCGAUUACAUGUUGUACACUCGGGUGUCGCAGGACUUGCACGUUUGCUGUGCUAGGUAGAUUUUUUGGGUUUGCAGAUGCUAGCUUGGAUAAAGCGUCUACUCGCUCGUUCUCCUUGCGGGGGACCUUGGUUAUCUUAAAACUCGCAAAUCCCCUUUGUAGGUCCCUGACUUUCAUUAAGUAAGCUAUCAUCUUCCCAUCUUUCGCCUCAAAUUCCCCUGUCACUUGCCCAACUAUCAACUGAGAAUCACUGCAAAUUUCUACUGACGUCACCCCCAGUCUGGAUGCCAAGCUCAAGCCUAUAAUCACUGCCUUGUACUCGGCGUCAUUAUUUGUUGCUGGAAACUCGAAACGCAAUGAAUAUUCUAGUUCCUCGGACCCUGGUCCUAUCAUAAUAAUGCAUGCUCCGGAUCCUUCACUAUGUGAAGAUCCAUCCACAAAGAUUUUUCAAACUUCCUCAUGCCCCUCGGGUUGGUCAAGGGGGGCUGUAAGCUCUGCGAUAAAGUCUGUCAAAGCUUGCGCCUUAAUAGCUGUCCUCGAUUUGAACUCGGUGUCAAAUUCACUUAAUUCGAUUGCCCACUUUAACAUCCUCCCAGACGUCUCAUGUCGAUGCAAAAUUUGCUUCAUGGGCUAAUCGGUCAUGACUUGUACUGUAUGAGAGUGGAAAUACGGCCUUAACUUUCUGACGGCCAUAAUCAAUGUGAACACCAGCUGUUCUACAAGACUAUACCUGAUUUCUGCACCUCUCAAAACUUGGCUUAUGUAAUACACUGGCUUUUGUGACUUUGGAAAUUCUUUUAUGAGCACCGCACUGAUUGCGUGCUUUGAAACUGCCAAAUACAAACAUAACACGUCCCCUGCACAUGGACUAGUCAGGACCGGGGGCUGCUGGAGAGACUACUUCAAGGAUUUGAGGGAUUCUUCACAGUCCUUGGUCCAUUCAAAGUUGUUUGAGCCCCAAUUUCCUUGAAGAAGUGGUAGCACUUAUCAACUGCUCGACUCAUGAAAUGAUUUAAUGCUGCUACCCGCCCAGUGAGCUGCUGGACCUCCCUUUUACUUGAGGGGUUCUUCAUCUCCAGGAUAGCUCGGAUCUUAUCUGGAUUUGCUUCGAUGCCUCUUUGUGAAAUCAUGAAACAUAGGAACUUUCCACCUGCUGUUCCAAAAACACACUUCUCGGGAUUGAAUUUCAGCCUAUUCCGUCGGGCUACGUCAAACACUUUUCGCAGAUCAGCUACGUGGUUAUCAGCCUUAACACUUUUGACAACCAUAUCAUCAACAUAAGCUUCGAUUAUAUUUCCAAUCAAGUCUUUGAAGACUUUAUUUAUCGUUCUUUGAUAAGUUGCUCCAGCAUUUUUCAAGCUGAAUGGCAUAGCUGUAUAGCAGUACGUUCUCGAGUCAAUUAUGAAAGAUGUUUGCUCUUGGUCCGACUCGGCCAUAGAGAUCUGGGAAUACCCGUAGAAGGCAUCUAGAAAGCUCAGUCAUUCAUGACCUGAUGUGGCAUCUACCAAAUGAUCUAUCCUAGGUAGCGGAUCUGAAUCUUUGGGACAUACUUUGUUCAAAGCAGUGUAAUUCACGCACAUGCGCCAUUUCCCAUUUGACUUUAUUACGAGGACAACAUUGGCCAACCAUUCUCGAUACUGUACUUCCCUGACAAACCCUGGAUGCAACAACUUUUCAACUUCUGCCUUCGCCGCAGCCUAUCACUCCGGAGCAAGAUUCCUCUUCGUUCCCCUCACAGGCUUUGCUCCAGGUGCAAUACCAAGACAGUGCUGAGCGACUGAUAGACUGAUCCAUGGAAUGUCACUUGGGCUCCACGCAAAAACAUCUAAUUGUCAGAUAAACACUUCACUAAUUCUUCUUUUUCUUCUGGCCUCAUGUUCAUCCCAAUGCUGAAUUCAUGUCCUUCCCCUAUCAAAAUUUUUUCUGUCAUGUCAAGUGACUUAAUUCGUCCCCUCGGGGGCUCAAAAUCUAACGUCAUAAUUGACGGUGAUUCCCUUGCUUGUAUACUGUCAACAUAGCACCUUUUCGAAGAUUGUUGAUCACCUCUCACAUACCCUACGCUCGGCUGGUUGGGAACUUUAUAACUUGAUGAUAAGUGGAAGGAAUUGCACCAACGACAUUCAACAGAGGCUGACCAUAUAUUGCAUUGUACGCCAUGGGGGUCUUAACAACAAGGAAGUUUACUAGGAUCACCACGCUUGUUGGAUAUGUACCCAACGUCACUGGAAGUUCUACAGCUCCCUCUGGUAUAACAGUAACUCCUCCGAAUCCUUGAAGAGGAGUGGACACAGCCUUUAAUUCUUCAAGAGAAAUUUUCAAUCCUACAAAUGCUUCACAAGUGAGGAUGUUUACCGCGCUACCACCAUCAACCAAAACCCUUUUUACAUCAAAAUCCACUAUGUCACCGACGAUCACCCAAGCAUCGUCAUGGGGCGUUGCCACACCAAUCAGAUCUUCUUCAUUGAAAGUAAUAUUUUGGUGAAACCUGGUCAUCUCUUAAAUGGAGCAAACCCUAACGGUGCGAGCAUAGCCCUUCCUAGAUGAAUUCGAGUCUCCGCCUGUCGUAAUCCCUCCAGCUAUCACAUUUAUUACUCUAGCCUUAGGUGGUGGUCUAUCGUUGACUUUCUGUUUGCCUCAAUCAUUCUUCACAUACUUAGUCAAAAGUCCCCAUUUCAAUAGGUGCUCGAUCUCCUCCUUCAAGUGGAUACAUUAUUCCAUAUCAUGCCUAUGAUCCCUAUGGAAUUGACAAUAUCUUCUUUUGUCUCUCUUGUUAGUAGAGGCUGCCAUGGGCUUCGGCUAGCCGAGCUCUUUCAUGUGCCGAAUUUCCAUCAAUACCUUUGCCCGUGGAGCGUUUACAGGGGUGAAGGUUUUUAUCUCUUCUAGCUCUGUUUGACUGCGAACCUGUGCAUACCCUCUAUUCACAUGUUCGCUUUUCAACUUAUUCUUAUCGGUAGAUUUUCUCUCCUCAUGUGAUUUUUGCUUGUUUGGUUCUCAUCCUUCGCGAAGGCUUUUCGUGACCUUCUUUGCUUCCUCAGCGUCUACAUACUUCUCUCCCUUUUUCAAUAGUUCAUACAUUAACUCUGGGGGGUUUUUUGAGAGUGACAUCUUAAAAGCCUGAUUUUGCGUUCCAUUCAUUAAUGCAGUGACUACCACCAAGAUCUGGAGAUCCUUUACGCCCAAUGUUGCCCUACUGAACCUAGCCAAAUAAUCUUGCAAUGGCUCAUAUUUUUCUUGAACAACUUGCAUUAGUCCUAUGGCGGUCUUUUUCUUUCUCUUGCUGCUCAUGAAAUAUGCUACAAAGCUUCUAGAGAGCUCAUCAAAUGUUUUGAUUGAUCGUGGCGCCAGAGUGGCUACCCAAUCUCUCGCUUCCCUUCUCAGCGUCGGUGAAAAGGAUCGACACAUCACGGCAUCUGUGGCUACGUACAGUCUCAUUAAAUCAACAAAAGUGCAUAGAUGAUCAAGUAGAUCGGUGACUCCAUCAUACACUUCUAUCAUUGGUUGUUUGAAACCCUUUGGUAGAGGAACCGCAAUGAUUUCUGGGGCGAACGAGUCUUCUUCCAAAACUAUCUGCCUUCGCCUAUCCUUCCUCCUUGUCAACACAUCGUCAAUCUUCUGGGUCAUUAUUUCUUCCAUCCUACGCUACAAGUCUGCCAUAGGACGCGUGGCCUGUGUAUGUGUGACUUCAUGUGACCCUUGGUCAGCAACGAUUUCCUGAAUUACCGGUGGGACAACUAAAUGGUUUGCUUGGUGUUGCCCAUUUAUGUCUUGCGACGGUGCUUCUGGCAUAUUGUCAGAUGGACCGGCUACUCUUGGCGUCUGAUUUUGUAAGAGAAUUAUCAUAGUGGCUAACUGAGCCUCCAGAAGGUUAAAUUGACUCUACGUCACAUAUUGAGAUUGAAGCUGCGGAUCUUGACCCCUGGCGACAGACUCCGACUCCAACUCCGCAGUGUUAGUAACCACACGUGUAUCACUUCUAGUUUGUCUUCUCGACAUAGCUUUUAUGUUCAGUGAAGACUUCCUACAGACGGCACCAAUGAAAUAAUUUUAGUAUAAUUCCAUAUGUUUUCCAGUGAAAGAAUUGGUCUUUUAUCCUCCGGUGAUCCUGCAAAAAGAGGCUGGGGCUCCCUCCCCUUUUUACCUCUGGCGAGAGACUCAGUAAUUGUUUUUAGAUAAAGGAUGUUAAAGAAAUGCAGUAGUGAUGGAGGAAAGAAUUUUUUCUUAAAAAAAGAAAGAAACCCCUUUACCUGACAUGCCCAUGGGAUAUUUAUAGGCGUCUGGCAUCAUAACCGCUGGGCAGUUGCCAUCCAUGUGUCCCCAUCAGUCUAACAUCACGUAAUCAUUGGGCAGUUGUCAUCCACGCGUCCUUAUGAGACUUUCCCGCUCUUCAGGCAGUUUUUUCAAUUAUUCGAUUACCCGGAUAAUGGGUUUAAAUAAUAACCGUUCGGAUGGUUGUUGAUCGAUUUCAAUGUUGUUCAGGUAGACGACGAUUGCUCCGCGCGUGGCGGGGUCAGAUUAGCAUAGUAAUUAGCGCUCUAAUAUGACGAGUGUUACCUGACAUGCCAAAGCUGUCUGUACCUUAUGAGAAGCAAAGGUAGCAUUGGUCGACCUGACACUACGAUAGUCGUCAUUUCAUGAUGGGCUACCUGACAUAGCGGGGGUCCAUCCUUUUUCUACCAGUCAUCCUAAUCAAUUAACAUGAUAUCAUAUAUAUAUAUAUUGCAAAUUUUCAAAUACAAUGUCAAACUAAAUAUCCUUUGGUUGGGAGGAGAUAAUAACACUAGAUUCGAGCGAUGGCAAUGGGGGGUUUCGGGGCAUGGCGGGGGUUGGACAUUUUCCCACCCUGUACCUGCGCGUUACCCAUUUGAGGCGGGGCAGGGCCUCUACCUGUUUAUGUACCCUUUCUUUUUAUAUACUUUUAUAAUUCAUUUUAUUGCCCCCCAACCAUUAAAGUGAAACAAUAAAGAGAUAAUUGUAGCAGAAGCUCCAAACCUUUGAGACAUUUUCAGACUUUUCCCAAAUCUUUCUCGUCACCCCUAACAUUUUCAAACGUUGCAUAUGAGGCCCUUUUUGACAAUUUUCAUCCAAAAUUUCGUCAGUUGACUGAAAAAAUGAUUUUGACCGCAUUUUAACAAUUUUUAAAGGAGUAGAAUGGUAACUUUACAUUAAAAUGAAAAAUAAAAAAAUAAAAUUAGCCUUCUUCUUCCCUAACCCAUCCCACAUUUUUAAAUCGUAAAAAUAAACCUUCAUCCCUUUCAAUGUAUCUGAAAGAAUAUCAAGAAAAAAAAUUAGCAAAAAGACAAUCUUCAUCUGAGUGCUGAUUUGAGUUUAAUGGAUUGAGGAUUUUCACCGUUAAAACUUCUUACCUUGGGGAUUAUGGAUGUGUUGGAGAAGGGAUAGUUCUUUAAUAAGAGCUCGAGAGUGUUUGGUUUUAGAAACAAUAUUUCUUGAAAUUGAAUUGGUAGGUUUAUUGUUGGUAAAAAGAAAAAGGCUAAAGAAGUAGAAGGAUAAAGAGAACCAGAGAAUCCAUUUGAAAUAUCUCCUGUAAAAAUUACUCUUAUUAGCAUUUUUGUAAUGUCCUGUAUUAUUUUGCAGAAGCCUCAUUCGCACAUGGAACUCUUUAGUGUUCAUCCAUUCCUCUCUCUCUCUCUUAAAAACUCUCGAGAGAUCAAGAGAGGUAGGAAUAGAGAAGUGUUCAGAUGGGAUUUUCUGUAUUUAUGAUAGAUAUUCGGGCGUCGUUCAUCUCGAAACCCCGACCCCACUUUACCCGCUCAUUUUGCUAAUGGGUUUCUUGAUUUGUUGUGGGGUAGGGUGGAUUUUGGGAAGGGUUAGGGAAGAAGAAAACUAAUUUUAUUGUUUGAUUUUUUAUUUUGAUGUAAAGUUACCAUUCUGUCCUUUUAAAAAUUAUUAAACUACGGUCAAAAUCAUUUUUUCGGUCUACUGACGGAAUUUUGGAUGAAAAUCGUCAAAAAGGACAUCACAUGUAAUGUUUGGAAAGAUUAGAGGUGACGACCGCAACAAAUCAAGGGUUUGGAAAAAGUCUGCAAAUAUUUCAAAGGUUAGGGACUUCUGCUGCAAUUAUCCCAAACAAUAAUAUAGUUAUUAAAUUUUUAAUUAAUUAAUUUAUUUUUAAAAGUUAAAUUAUUCGAAUAUAUUUUGUAAACUAAGAUUUUUAUUAUUUAUCAUAUACCUUAAAUAAUUUUAGUUGUCAUCUUCUAUUAAAAUUAAUAAAAUUUCGUGGAAUUUUCCAUUUAAAGGAUUGAAUUCUUAAAAAAUAUAUAUUUAUUAACUUGGCGAGCAGGGUGGGGCAGGGCAUGUGUUACAUGUACCUGCCUCGAAUACCCGAUUAAGUGGGUAAUUCUCAUCCCAUUCAAGGCGGAGCCCACUGUAUCAGGUUUGGUGGGAUUUUUUUCCAUUCCUACUAGAUUAUCCUCUACAAAAAAUAUCCAUGUGAAUUUGGGCUAUCUGUUCACUACAUUUCCAGCAAUUGGACCCAGAAGAAGGCCCGACCCCUAUUUUUCGCCACAAAAUACCCGUCAGUUGACUAAAAAGAACUUGAUGUCCAAUUGAACCAGAAUCCUAUUGAUUCAUUUGGUCCAAAAGACCCCUGUUCAGUUGAUAUUAGGAAGAAGAUAGGGUUGGAGAUACGGGAGAAAGAGAUAGGAAGAGUUAUAUGGCUGAAUGAAGGUGGGGCAUUGACGGUUAUACUAAAAUUAUGUGAUGAAUAGGCCGCUUUCCAAGUGGAAAUUAAAUGGAAACAUGUAUCUGAAGAUUGAAUUUCAAAAAUAAUGUUUAAAGUUUACAUAUAAAAAAUCAGGUAAUAAUUUUAUAUUUUAAUAUUAAUAAAUUAAUCUACAUGCUCACACUUUACUCCAUCUACCCCAUUCAAACCCUUAAUUAUUCUCUCCCUCUUCUUCCCCUCCCUUCUCUUUUCCGCUCUCAUCUCUCUCUACCCUCUCCUUACACAUAGAUGGACAUCGUAACCGGAGACAACAGCAAGGCUCGUCACUGUGAGCAACGACGCACGCUCACAACAACUACCUCCGAGCAUCGCUAUAUAGCGAUAUUUCGCUGUAAGCGCCGUUACACAGUGUCAUACGCAGCAGUGUCAAAGUCGCUGCGUGCGGUGACCUCGCACAACACAACGCCGCUGCAGCGGUUUCUCUAUGUAGCAUCGCAACAACGCAAUCGAUGGCAUUCGUUUUUUUUUUUUUUUUUUUNNNNNNNNNNNNNNNNNNNNNNNNNNNNNNNNNNNNNNNNNNNNNNNNNNACUUUUGUUUGGGGGGGUUUUUUUUUUUUUUUUUUUCUUUUUUUUUUUUUUUUGGGGCGUGGGGAGGGUUGGUUGUUGGAGUGUCAGUGGUGGUUUCCAUGUUUGGUGUUAUUGGGGUUUUGUGGUAGUGCAAGUGGUGGAUUUGGUGGAAGUGGUACAAAGGUGGCGACAAUGGUGUGGCACUGAUGAUGUGGUGGUCACAAAUUGUGGCGGUGGUUAUGACAUGGUUUUUAGUUGGGGUGGGAGUAGGAUAAAGUGUGUUUGUAAAUAAGUAUUUAGGUGAUUGUGACCAAAGUAUUGGCAUCGAUAGUGGGAUUAGCGAUAGGUUGGGGUGUUUGUGGUUUGUGACCAACUAUUUGUUUAAUUUGUGAUCAACUAUUUAAUAUGUUACCAAAUAAUUCGAUAAUUUGUCACUGAGAAAUAACUUGCGACUUUAACUAAUGUGAUAAUUUGUUACCGUGAAAUAAAUUGUAACUUAUAAAAUUGGUAUUUGUGACUGAUAAAUAAAUUGGGACUUAUAAAUUUUUGAUUUGUGAUCGAGAAAUAAUUUGUGACCAAUUAAUUUGAUAAUAUGUGAUCUAUAAGUACGCAACCUUGAUCUAAUUUGUAUAAUUAUGACCUUAAUAAAUAUAUUAAAUUAUUUAUUAAUCACCCGAAUUUUAAAAUUGUAAACUUGUUAUCUUAAAAUUGAAUUAGCCCAUACAUAAAGCCUGAGAUCUGAAUUUUUCCUGCUUAUAAAUCUCAAACCCAUCUUUAUUGAAUUCAAUACCUAUGAGAAGAUCAGUAGGCCAAACAUAAUGGACAGAGCUUCUAUCCUCAAAAUUCAAGGACUGGGCCGAAAAUAGGUAGAGCCUUUUCCCAGUGGCCCAUUAAAACCCAACAAAAACACCAAGAUUUCAAGUAGGGAUGUCAAAAGGGUCGAGCGACUCGUCGGCUCUCAACCACUUGGCUAAUCAAAACCCGGCUCGUGGGUAGCUCGGGCAGGCUCGGCUCGUCGAGUCCACAAGCGGCUAUUUUGUCAAGCCCACGAGCCGUGGGCUCAUCAAAAAAUAUAAAAAAAAAUUAAAAAAGGGUCUAAAAUGUGCAAAUUUACCAAAAAAAUUAAAAAAAUCACGAGCUCACGAUCGACUCGUGGGCUCGGCUCGACUCGACUCGACCUGCGAGCUCGUGGCCCAAGCAAUGAGCCGAGCUCGAGCUCGGCUCGCUCGAUCCAUUGCCAUCCCUAAUUUCAGGCGAAUAACAAUGUUGAUUGGGGGAUGCUGGACAAAUAGGGCCACGCCAUCCAGUGUACCAAUUAGGCGCCCCUGUCCCUUUAUCUUUUUCCAUGUUGAUAUGUUUCUAAACGUGAACAAAAGAAAAUUUAGGGGCUGUUCUCUUUGCGUUUCACAUUUUAGUUUUGAGUUUUGAAUUCAUUUUGGAUUUUGUAUUUUGAGUAUCCAUUUUAAGAUUGUUGAAAACGUGUUCUUUUUGUCAUUUUGAAAAAUCGUUUUGAAAAAUAAAAAAUUAAAAAACACGUUUAAUUUCUAGUUUUGAAAAUUUGUAAAAGCAAUUAUUCAAUAUAUAUAUAGUUUAUUUAUUUAUACAACAAAGCAAAAGUGUUGCCAUAUUGGUUAAGGCAUUAAAAGUCCAUGUUGGUGACCAAUGUUCGAAUCUCGGUUGCCUACCUAUUUAUUUGAACGAUUUUUAUAUUGUGCAUUAAAUAAAAAAAAAAAAACCCUUUGUAUUGAAAGUAGGCUGAUGGAAUCGAACUCAUGAUUAUCUCAAAAUCCAAAACCCUACCAACUGAGCUAUCCGGCUAUUGAUAAGAAUGAACGUGAAAUUUAAUUGAAAUUUCUUGUACUGUGCAUAUAAAAAGAAAAUUCCUUUGUACUAAAUUGCGAUGAAACAGAGUUGAACUCUUGACCUUAAGAAAAUUCUUGACUCAAUCAACUGAGCUAUCCUGCUAUUUGCAAAAAUACCGCGUUUUCCGCAUUUGGAAGUUUUGGCUUGAUUUCUACUAAAAACAACCAAAACGACUAAAAGGCCAUUUUGCGUUUUCUUUGUAAUUUUUUUCCGCAUUUUUGAAAAUUCAUUUUUGAAAAUAGGUAAGUAAACGUGUUUUCAGUGCUUUCAAAAAUUAAAAACUGAAAAUAGUAUGAAAACAACAAAGAGAACGAGCCCUAAGUCCCAUUAAGACCUGUCAUCAACAUUUGCCACCUCCAGCGGAGGAUGAUGAGCCUUGAGUCAAGAAAAGUGAGUUAAAGGUGCUUUUAACAAAGUAUAGUUCUCUUCACAAACAAAUAAGGAAUCACGUCCUCCCCAUAACUUUAUGUUUAAAUGCAAGAAAUGCACCCGAAGCCAAUCAUUCACCACUGCAACAACAUCUCCUCCAACUAGUUACCAAGGGAACCUGCAACUAUCAAGAAACUAGAAAAUCGACUCUUCAGCAGGUUUAUCGGGCCAAGUAUAUUUUUUUUAGUUAUCCUUCCUGUCAACAUAGUUCUCACCAGUUAAUUUUUUUGGUUCAGAAUUACAAAAUAUCACCACAAGCAUUUCUUCAUACUCAAAAAGAGAAUAUGGCUAAUGUAAGUUCCUCAAAACUGUAUAUUAUCACACAAUAAUUAUCUCUUAUUGUCACAGUUUCACUCAUGCUCCAUUUUGUGUGUCAUUAGGUAGUGGAGUUGAAGGUGGGCUUACACUGUGAUGAGUGCAUCAAGAAGAUCUUGAAGACAAUCAAGAAGAUUGAAGGUAAAAAUAUCCUAUCCUCAAACUAUUGAAGAUAAAAUCUAAAAUAAACAUGUUCUCUCUCUCCGAAUUUAAAUUUUUUGAUGAGGUAAUUCAAUAUGAUAUCAAGUAGCAAAGAUAUUGUGUCAAAUCUUCACUCCCGUCAAUAAUUGAUGUGACCUCCGUGGACAAUCACUCCCAGGAUACAACGAUCGUAAACCACUUAUGCAGCAAUCACGAAUGGUUUUUCUAGAACUCUCAAUUGUACUCCAGAAUAGGUAUAAAAAUCCGAAUAUAAGAAAUUCACAAUAUGAAAAGAGUGAUUGAUUCUAUUUUCUAUUUGUGUGUCUUUUCCCAAAGCAAGAUAUGGGUUUAUAUAGACAAGAUGGUAGUAACAGUCUUCACCAUGUUAAUGCAGAAUUUUAAUGACUGAGUAGUGGGUGUUUUAAUGGCAGUUAGUGGGUUGUUACAAAAACAAACAGUCAUAAAAUACUGGCUAGUUUUACCCAUUAAAUAAUGAAGAAAAAAAAUAUUUAUUUUAGUCAAGGAAGUCCAAGAGCCCAAGGCCCCAAGGCCCAAAUCAAGACAUUUUAAUAUUUGCGUGGGGAGUGAUUCGAACCCCUGACAUCCCACACAAAUGUCACAUUUCCCACCACUUUGACACUUUAUCUAAUUUGAUUAUUUCUUUCACAUUUUAUAUUUAUACCAUAAAUAUAUAACAAACAACUCACUCUAACGCGGUUGCUGAAUCGGCCUCGGGUAAACCUUCACAUUCACGAUCUUCGGCGCCUUCUCGCAGUACCUUGGCAUCUCCAUUCCGCCACGCGCCUUCCUCCACUUUAACUGCCCCAGCGUCACCAAGUCCAACUUCCCCUCUUCCUCUGUAGAUAAAAGAAAAACACUCCCGACUCAACAAGGAACCAAAACACACACACACACUCAUGAACUGAGUCAAUAAGUGGGUCAACUCGGUGUUUAAUUCUACUACACUUGCCUUUGAUGGAGUUACCUUUGAAGAUGCCAUCGUCGAAAAUGAAACUGUCUAUAUCUCCGGAGACCAGAAAAUUAGAAUAAUUAGGAUCAGGAUUGUCGAUUUGGGGAUCGGAAAAGCACUCUCGGAGCCAGUAGUCUCGAAAUGAGGAGGAGGAUUGAAUCAGAUCCCACCACUGGUCAGAAAAAUCCUCCACCGCAAGGUAAGCCGACGGAACAAAUAUCGGCGCGUUAGGGUUCAGCGUUGACGUUGCCAUUCUUCCUGCACUCUGCAAAAAAAAAAACCACAGUGAAUAUACUGUUACGAGAAGUUCAAGAAAUCAGCCCACUUAAGUCAACAAAAAAACGAAAAAUCACAAAAACUGAAAACUAAAAAAAAAAAAAAAAACACAAUGAAGAACACGGUAUUUUCGCCCUAAGGCAAGAGGUUCGGAACUUCGUUCCUAAUCCCCUUUUGAGCUUCCGUCAAACGGAAGAAAUCACUAUAUCAAUGGAAUCAACGAAUCUGUCCAGUACAAUCUUUUGGCACGCAGCAGAAAAUCACACAAAAUUUUCCCCAAAAUUAAGCCUCAUAAAUCGACAACAUUCACUCAAGAAUGAUGAAUCGAAGCCUAUACAAUAAUCACUCAAGAUUAUUUCAACAUAAGCCUCUAUACAUUCGACAAUGGCAUUCACUCAAGAAUAACACCAAUACACCUUGUUAAAUCACUCAAGAUUAUCUACACAAGGUUGAAUUAAUUUCUCAUCAACAGGGGCUAAUUUUUGGUGUGCAAAAAUUGAUAGAUUGAAAAGACCACCGAGAGAGGAGAGAUGAGAGGCAGAGAGGAACUCGUAAAAAAUGAGAGAAAGGAAUCUGAAUUCUGUUUUUNNNNNNNNNNNNNNNNNNNNNNNNNNNNNNNNNNNNNNNNNNNNNNNNNNNNNNNNNNNNNNNNNNNNNNNNNNNNNNNNNNNNNNNNNNNNNNNNNNNNNNNNNNNNNNNNNNNNNNNNNNNNNNNNNNNNNNNNNNNNNNNNNNNNNNNNNNNNNNNNNNNNNNNNNNNNNNNNNNNNNNNNNNNNNNNNNNNNNNNNNNNNNNNNNNNNNNNNNNNNNNNNNNNNNNNNNNNNNNNNNNNNNNNNNNNNNNNNNNNNNNNNNNNNNNNNNNNNNNNNNNNNNNNNNNNNNNNNNNNNNNNNNNNNNNNNNNNNNNNNNNNNNNNNNNNNNNNNNNNNNNNNNNNNNNNNNNNNNNNNNNNNNNNNNNNNNNNNNNNNNNNNNNNNNNNNNNNNNNNNNNNNNNNNNNNNNNNNNNNNNNNNNNNNNNNNNNNNNNNNNNNNNNNNNNNNNNNNNNNNNNNNNNNNNNNNNNNNNNNNNNNNNNNNNNNNNNNNNNNNNNNNNNNNNNNNNNNNNNNNNNNNNNNNNNNNNNNNNNNNNNNNNNNNNNNNNNNNNNNNNNNNNNNNNNNNNNNNNNNNNNNNNNNNNNNNNNNNNNNNNNNNNNNNNNNNNNNNNNNNNNNNNNNNNNNNNNNNNNNNNNNNNNNNNNNNNNNNNNNNNNNNNNNNNNNNNNNNNNNNNNNNNNNNNNNNNNNNNNNNNNNNNNNNNNNNNNNNNNNNNNNNNNNNNNNNNNNNNNNNNNNNNNNNNNNNNNNNNNNNNNNNNNNNNNNNNNNNNNNNNNNNNNNNNNNNNNNNNNNNNNNNNNNNNNNNNNNNNNNNNNNNNNNNNNNNNNNNNNNNNNNNNNNNNNNNNNNNNNNNNNNNNNNNNNNNNNNNNNNNNNNNNNNNNNNNNNNNNNNNNNNNNNNNNNNNNNNNNNNNNNNNNNNNNNNNNNNNNNNNNNNNNNNNNNNNNNNNNNNNNNNNNNNNNNNNNNNNNNNNNNNNNNNNNNNNNNNNNNNNNNNNNNNNNNNNNNNNNNNNNNNNNNNNNNNNNNNNNNNNNNNNNNNNNNNNNNNNNNNNNNNNNNNNNNNNNNNNNNNNNNNNNNNNNNNNNNNNNNNNNNNNNNNNNNNNNNNNNNNNNNNNNNNNNNNNNNNNNNNNNNNNNNNNNNNNNNNNNNNNNNNNNNNNNNNNNNNNNNNNNNNNNNNNNNNNNNNNNNNNNNNNNNNNNNNNNNNNNNNNNNNNNNNNNNNNNNNNNNNNNNNNNNNNNNNNNNNNNNNNNNNNNNNNNNNNNNNNNNNNNNNNNNNNNNNNNNNNNNNNNNNNNNNNNNNNNNNNNNNNNNNNNNNNNNNNNNNNNNNNNNNNNNNNNNNNNNNNNNNNNNNNNNNNNNNNNNNNNNNNNNNNNNNNNNNNNNNNNNNNNNNNNNNNNNNNNNNNNNNNNNNNNNNNNNNNNNNNNNNNNNNNNNNNNNNNNNNNNNNNNNNNNNNNNNNNNNNNNNNNNNNNNNNNNNNNNNNNNNNNNNNNNNNNNNNNNNNNNNNNNNNNNNNNNNNNNNNNNNNNNNNNNNNNNNNNNNNNNNNNNNNNNNNNNNNNNNNNNNNNNNNNNNNNNNNNNNNNNNNNNNNNNNNNNNNNNNNNNNNNNNNNNNNNNNNNNNNNNNNNNNNNNNNNNNNNNNNNNNNNNNNNNNNNNNNNNNNNNNNNNNNNNNNNNNNNNNNNNNNNNNNNNNNNNNNNNNNNNNNNNNNNNNNNNNNNNNNNNNNNNNNNNNNNNNNNNNNNNNNNNNNNNNNNNNNNNNNNNNNNNNNNNNNNNNNNNNNNNNNNNNNNNNNNNNNNNNNNNNNNNNNNNNNNNNNNNNNNNNNNNNNNNNNNNNNNNNNNNNNNNNNNNNNNNNNNNNNNNNNNNNNNNNNNNNNNNNNNNNNNNNNNNNNNNNNNNNNNNNNNNNNNNNNNNNNNNNNNNNNNNNNNNNNNNNNNNNNNNNNNNNNNNNNNNNNNNNNNNNNNNNNNNNNNNNNNNNNNNNNNNNNNNNNNNNNNNNNNNNNNNNNNNNNNNNNNNNNNNNNNNNNNNNNNNNNNNNNNNNNNNNNNNNNNNNNNNNNNNNNNNNNNNNNNNNNNNNNNNNNNNNNNNNNNNNNNNNNNNNNNNNNNNNNNNNNNNNNNNNNNNNNNNNNNNNNNNNNNNNNNNNNNNNNNNNNNNNNNNNNNNNNNNNNNNNNNNNNNNNNNNNNNNNNNNNNNNNNNNNNNNNNNNNNNNNNNNNNNNNNNNNNNNNNNNNNNNNNNNNNNNNNNNNNNNNNNNNNNNNNNNNNNNNNNNNNNNNNNNNNNNNNNNNNNNNNNNNNNNNNNNNNNNNNNNNNNNNNNNNNNNNNNNNNNNNNNNNNNNNNNNNNNNNNNNNNNNNNNNNNNNNNNNNNNNNNNNNNNNNNNNNNNNNNNNNNNNNNNNNNNNNNNNNNNNNNNNNNNNNNNNNNNNNNNNNNNNNNNNNNNNNNNNNNNNNNNNNNNNNNNNNNNNNNNNNNNNNNNNNNNNNNNNNNNNNNNNNNNNNNNNNNNNNNNNNNNNNNNNNNNNNNNNNNNNNNNNNNNNNNNNNNNNNNNNNNNNNNNNNNNNNNNNNNNNNNNNNNNNNNNNNNNNNNNNNNNNNNNNNNNNNNNNNNNNNNNNNNNNNNNNNNNNNNNNNNNNNNNNNNNNNNNNNNNNNNNNNNNNNNNNNNNNNNNNNNNNNNNNNNNNNNNNNNNNNNNNNNNNNNNNNNNNNNNNNNNNNNNNNNNNNNNNNNNNNNNNNNNNNNNNNNNNNNNNNNNNNNNNNNNNNNNNNNNNNNNNNNNNNNNNNNNNNNNNNNNNNNNNNNNNNNNNNNNNNNNNNNNNNNNNNNNNNNNNNNNNNNNNNNNNNNNNNNNNNNNNNNNNNNNNNNNNNNNNNNNNNNNNNNNNNNNNNNNNNNNNNNNNNNNNNNNNNNNNNNNNNNNNNNNNNNNNNNNNNNNNNNNNNNNNNNNNNNNNNNNNNNNNNNNNNNNNNNNNNNNNNNNNNNNNNNNNNNNNNNNNNNNNNNNNNNNNNNNNNNNNNNNNNNNNNNNNNNNNNNNNNNNNNNNNNNNNNNNNNNNNNNNNNNNNNNNNNNNNNNNNNNNNNNNNNNNNNNNNNNNNNNNNNNNNNNNNNNNNNNNNNNNNNNNNNNNNNNNNNNNNNNNNNNNNNNNNNNNNNNNNNNNNNNNNNNNNNNNNNNNNNNNNNNNNNNNNNNNNNNNNNNNNNNNNNNNNNNNNNNNNNNNNNNNNNNNNNNNNNNNNNNNNNNNNNNNNNNNNNNNNNNNNNNNNNNNNNNNNNNNNNNNNNNNNNNNNNNNNNNNNNNNNNNNNNNNNNNNNNNNNNNNNNNNNNNNNNNNNNNNNNNNNNNNNUUUUUCCACAACUCAGCAGCAGUUUUUGUCUCACCAAUUUCUCUCAACACAUUGUCAGAUAAAUGCAAGAAUAUAGAACUCCAUGCAAUUUCAUCAAGUUCAGUUUUCUUAAUUUCUUCCAUAUCAUUAGGCCAUGACUCAUCAAUGGCUUUAGCACAUUUUUGUUGAAGCAAAAGGGCUCGCAUUUUCUGGCGCCAGAGACUAAAGUCUCCUUUACCAUUAAAAAUCUCCAAUUCAACUUUAGUUGACAUUAUCAAAACUCAAUUUGAUAAAAAAAAAAUGCAAGCAGAUCACAUACAAAGUCAACAGUAUAUUCAACUUGCAGGAACUCAAAUGUCAUACACCAUAAUCAAAUUUAAAGUGCACAGUUAACAAGUGAGUUAUACAAUACAGAUUAUGCAGUGAGAUCUCAUCAGUCCAUUCACCACAUGAAUAAGCAGUUUACACAAAAAACCAGCAGUGUCAAGUCACAAGUAUAACAUGCCAUAUACAUUAUAAUAAACUCAUGCAGAAAACAUAAAAUUUGUCCAAAAUCGUCAACUUAUAAAUCAAGACAAUUCUUAGAUUCCAGACAACUUACGAUCUCUAGAUAAAGGCAUUGUCAAGAUAAAGUCUCAGAUUUAGGGAUUUUAAGUCAGUUACAAAAAUCUCACAGUAUAGACAAAUAUUAUAUAUGUAACUCGACAAUUAUGGAACGAACUCACCAAAAUCCCUUAUUAGGAUUUCAAGAAAUAAACGAGAUCAACUGAACCAAUGCAAGAAACCUUCGAGACUACCAACACCGGCACCAAGAACCCCCAUCACGAGCUCUGAUACCACUGUUACGAGAAGUUCAAGAAAACACAAUGAAGAACACGGUAUUUUCGCCCUAAGGCAAGAGGUUCGGAACUUCGUUCCUAAUCCCCUUUUGAGCUUCCGUCAAACGGAAGAAAUCACUAUAUCAAUGGAAUCAACGAAUCUGUCCAGUACAAUCUUUUGGCACGCAGCAGAAAAUCACACAAAAUUUUCCCCAAAAUUAAGCCUCAUAAAUCGACAACAUUCACUCAAGAAUGAUGAAUCGAAGCCUAUACAAUAAUCACUCAAGAUUAUUUCAACAUAAGCCUCUAUACAUUCGAGAAUGGCAUUCACUUAAGAAUAACACCAAUACACCUUGUUAAAUCACUCAAGAUUAUCUACACAAGGUUGAAUUAAUUUCUCAUCAACAGGGGCUAAUUUUUGGUGUGCAAAAAUUGAUAGAUUGAAAGGACCACCGAGAGAGGAGAGAUGAGAGGCAGAGAGGAACUCGUAAAAAAUGAGAGAAAGGAAUCUGAAUUCUGUUUUUUUGGUUCUGCUGGACGUCCAACCCUAAUGCCAAUUUAAUAUGAAACCCACUAGUGUCUUCAUCCAAUGGUGUAAAGUGUGACACUUGUCAAAAUCUGGCCAGCCAUUUAAAUGAGAAGAAAAACGUGUUCAGCAGCUCCCUUUUUGGCAAAAUGAAAACAGCAACUCUCCAAAUUAAUUACAAGAUCCGGCCCAAUUAGCAGGUUUAUUCCAGCAGCCCAUCAUUGUGCCAUUUUCUCUACAU